rnacentral:lncRNA from 1 species
GCCUGGGAUGACAGCUUAUGCUGGUUUUUAUGAGGUUUGCUCCCCUAAGAAGGGAGAAACUGUGUUUGUUUCAGCUGCUUCUGGAGCAGUUGGUCAACUUGUUGGACAAUUUGCAAAGAUGUUAGGUUGUUAUGUUGUUGGUAGUGCUGGAAAUAAACAAAAGGUAAGUACUUCAACAUUUCAUUCUUGAAUUUUAUUAGUGGCUAAUUAGUUAUCUUACUCAUCUUAAUCAUUGUUAAAUAAUCUAGCUAUCUCAUCUAUUCAUUAUUAUUAUUAAAGGUUGAUAUGUUGAAGACCAAGUUUGGUUUUGAUGAAGCGUUUAACUAUAAAGAGGAGCAGAAUUUAGAUGCAGCUUUGAAGAGGUAAGUAAUCUUUUAAAUUUCCCACAAGAAAACACUUAACUAAUAUGGAAAAAAACAGUUUCCACGAUGAAGGUGUAGGCGACGACUUCUUUUUAAUUUUUUUUUUAAGCCAUCACCUUAACGGUGUGUGUGUGUUGGGGGGGGGGGGGGGGCUGCUUGACCCCUACCAUGUCUAUAACAUCCAAAAAGUUACAAAAGCAGAAGGGGACAUGGACCUAACCUCUUGAUAGUGAACAACGAGGAUAAACUAAACAAUCUACCGAAAGACUAAGAUGACAUAGACUUUCAACUAUAAGCAAAAUACAUUGGUUCAACUAACAAAAAAAAAUUACAUUUGUCGUAUCUUCUCCUUAUGCUAAAGUUGCCACUUAUCUAGUCGAAAUAGUCCCUUCACCUCAGAAGAAUUAAGUGUGGUGGAUUGAACAUUAAGGGCAUAAAUGAAAAGAUAGCUAAUAAAACGCUAAAGGUAUGUAUGAACUGAUAGUAUAACGGAAAAGCAAUACUAGACCUUUAAUUUUCAAUAAUAUAGGAGUAAAUAUGACCUUUUUUUCGUUUUGGUUUAUUCUAUUAGGUACUUCCCUGAUGGAAUUGACAUUUACUUUGAGAAUGUUGGAGGUAAAAUGCUUGAUGCAGUUCUUGUGAAUAUGAAACUUCAUGGUCGUAUUGCUGUGUGUGGAAUGAUUUCACAAUACAACCUUGACAAGACUGAAGGAGUGCACAACUUGUUUUGCCUCAUCGCGAAACGAAUCCGUAUGGAAGGAUUUCUUGUUUUUGAUUACUAUCAUCUUUAUCCUAAAUAUCUUGAAAUGAUCUUUCCACAAAUAAAGGCUGGUAACAUUGUGUAUGUGGAAGACAUAGCUGAAGGUUUUGAAAGUGCUCCUAGUGCUCUAGUUGGUCUCUUCUCUGGUCUCAAUGUUGGAAAGCAAGUUGUGAUGAUUUCAUGUGAAUGAAUGGAUUUGGAUCUUUUCCAUUUUCUCUCAAGUUUUUACUUGAAAGGAAAGAUAUUGUGUCAUGGUUAAAUACUUAAUGCACAAACAUUUCUAUCAUGUAUUUACUAAUUCUAUGUAUGGUUUGAAAUAAUUAGUCAUAAAUUGAUAAUUUCAUACUAGAUUUCAAGUCAGUUAUACCUAGGUACAUGUAUUUUUGCUACUAGGUACAUUUUGAAAUGCAGAUACAUAGGAAGAGAGGGAGCGAGAGAGGAGAAAGGAGAGAUGAGAGAGGCGAGAGGCAAGCGAAAGAGUUAGUGUAUCCCAGAUAUGUGCAAAUUACACUAGAUAAUAUGAGAUAUCAUAUACAAUUCAUAAACAUUCUGAAAUACAGAUACAUAAGGAGAGAGGCGAGCGAGAGAGGGAGAGAGGCGAGCAAGAUAAGAGAUAUGAGUGAGAGAGUCAGUGUUUCCAUCAUAUAAAUUAUGCUUGAAUACAGUAUGUCAGAAAUAAAUUGGACCUAAUUUUAAUUUAUAUAUCCAAGAUACAUAUAUUUGGAUGUGUCGCAUACAUGUGUUUGGGAACUAACAUCUGACACAAACAAUAAUUUCAAAGAGGCACAUAAUUAGACUCUAAACUAAAGAAAUUCUUAUCGUUUGCCCUUGAACUUAUUUAGGCAAAUAAAAGGUCGGAAGAGAUUUAAGAUUGCGAGAUUAAUAAUAAUUUAUAAAAUUAAAUAUAUAAUAUAGUAUUAAUUAUCUAAAUCAUAAAAAAGAUUUAUUUUGAUUAACUAUGGGUGUGUUUGGUAUGUGUUGACACCCAAUUUUGGACCUCCACAAUAUAAAUUAAUCAUCGAGCUUCCUAAAUUCCAAAUGAUUUGAAAUAAUUGGCUUUAUAAAAUUCAAAAUAAUUUUCAAGUCAUUUUAAGUAGUUUUGUCAUUUUUAUAAAUUCUAAAAAUAAUAAAUAUGAUAUUUUAUAUAAUUAUGUGUCUAAUUAGUAUAUUUUAUGAACGUUCGAAAAUUGUCUCAAAAGGAUUUUAGUCUUAUUUAAAUAUUUGGUUAUUUAGUCGUUUAUAUUAUUAAAUUAAUUAGUUUAUAAUUAAGUUAAUUAUUUUAUUUUAUUAAGAUUAAGAAUCUCGUUAAUUAAUUAAUAUCAAUUUAUCUUAUUUAAUUACUAGUCAAAUCUAUCUUAACUAACUUAAAUCGACUAAGUUUUAACCCCUUUUUAACCGACCCCACCCCUAUUUCUUUACAAUUCACGGCAGCCCAUCACAUAACCCAAAAAUCGGCCCAUUUUCUCCUUUUCCUCCAACCUGUCCAGCAGCCCACAACAAUUCCUAACAAUACAUACACGAACCGACCCCAUCCUCCUUAUUUCCCUCAACUCAACUUGUACAGCAACUAACACCAAUUCCCACGACCCAGCCCAGUUGCCCCUUUAACCCGGCCCAAACCCACGUUAACAAGAACAUUCAACCCCAAUGUUUCAUUCAAUAUUCACGAAGGAACCUAGAAAAUCCCCCCCAACGUCCCUUUCGGUUGGUACAAUCGCAGCAGGCACGCCUCUGUCCUCCUUUCCCCUUUCGGAAUGAGCCAAAAUCUCAAGGAAAAGGUGUUGGUCCGAAUUGAUGAAGGAAUUCAAUUUUUUGAAUUUGGAAUUCGUCCAAAAUCUACCGGAUUUCCCCCGUUUUUUUUUUAAUCCAAAAAAUUUCCCUUCUAUAUAAUUGUUUUGUUAUUCACUGUUGAAGGAGGCAGAGGUAAUUCUCAACUAAGACUGGGAUAUAGAGAAUUAUAGUUCAUAAAAAGGGAUUGGGAGAAGUUAGCAAACGGAGAAUGGAUAGCUGAACAAAAGUAUUUUCAAAUAGCUUCAAAAAGAACCUGAGUUUUUUUUUUUCUUUGAAUUUGGUUUCUUCUUUAUCGGAUCGUCGGGGUUUGCCGGAGUAUUCGGAAUCCCAUUUCAGUGGUGAAAGUUUUUGCUCGCUGCUCCGCUCGUUGUUGUCCCGUUUGCUGCACUCAGAAAGGUAAACUCUAUUUCUGCUCGUGUCAUUUAUUUCUUAAGUUGUAGUUUGUUCACUGCUUGAAAGUUAUAAGCUAUGUGAAUGCUGAAAUUUGAAAAAAUAAUCUCAAUUUGCUCUUAAGUUCGAAAUCAGUGGCGUUUCCUUGCUUUAUUUAUUUAAAUUUUCUAGUUUGUUUGGUUAGACGUUCGGCAGACUCAAUGUGAUUUUGAGUUGCUCGCCUUUCUGUUUCCUUAUCAUCUCGCUGUUUAUCUUGUGGGUUGGCUGUAGGUUAGUAUGAAUGUGAAUUUUCCGAGUCUAUAAUGCUGAUUUUUAUAGUUUGUUAGACAACGGUUACUUCAUUCGUUUAGCUAGCAUGAAUCGUGUAGGUUGAAUAGUUUUAUUUCUUCUCUUGUUUGGUGCUUGUUCCAUCCGUGUUCAAUGAAGUAAAAAAUGGUUCAUAUAUCAUCUACUUACCAUUUUAAAAAUCUCAUUCACGAUAGUGAUAAUCGUAUAGUCUCCAUCACCCCUCAUGUUUAGUCGAUUUAUCUUAGGUCCACUUCAGUCUGAUUUGGUUAAAAUUGUUAAGAUGUUAACUUGAGUCAGUUUGCUCCGUUCCAUUUUUUGCUAUUCAAAGCAAGUUCGGUUGUUUGUAUUUCUUCCUUAUUCUCAUCUUUGAAUCAUGCCAAGUCUUGAAAAGGGUAAGACUUAUGUAUCAUUUGUGGUAUUUUCUUUAGUUGCUAUCAUCGUUUGCUACCUUAUCGAUGCCGUGGAAUAUAUACUCACUAUUAUAAGAAGCCUAUGACUGGUCUCUCUCAUCAUGAAAACAUAUGUUCAUCCUUUUCCUUACUAUUUGAGUGCAUUGAGCAGUGGAAGGGCAGUAGUCUUCUCACUAUUAUUUUAUUAUUAUUAUUCUUAUUGUUAUUAUUAUUUUCUUCUCAUAAUAAAACUAUUACUUGUUCACCUAAGGCAUUAACAUAUUAGUUUGCACGUGAUCUUCUUUCCUGUUGGUUUUACUAAUUUGUUUGAGUUGGUAUUCUAAUCCCUUAAAUGCAUUAUUUUUGCUCAAGUCAUUGAGGUUUAGAUUCACUAAUAUAUCUCUUCUCUUCUCUAUUGUAUAUGAACUCCGCUCGGGUCCAAUUUGGACUCCACUUCUCUACUUUGCAUUUCGGAUGGGCCAUAAAGACCCCAAAUCCUUCUUUCCUUUCGAGUCGGUACCCCAGCAAGCAGGGACUGAUGUACAGGUCUUGGAGAAGUCCAAAACGGAAUGUAUACAUGCUGAUAUACAGCAAUAUACCUUGAUAUACGCUUCAGAAUAUUGAAUUAUAGGUGGAAAAUGAAUCGCAAGUACUUGGGAGGCUGAAAUAUAUUGUAUACGGAGGGUAUGCAUGCCAAUAUAGACGAAAAUGAGUCGAAGUGCGACCCAUAUACAACAAUAUACCUUUGCUGUAUACACAGGUGUUUGGGAGCGAAAAUGGGCUGAAGGAGGCCCAAAACGCAGCAAUAGGCCCAAAUUUGACAUGCUCUUCCUUUCCCUCCUUUAUUAUUUUAUUAUAUUUGACUAACGCUUUGAUUAUCUUAUGAUUUAACUUAAUUAAAUUCCUCAAGAAUGGUCAUUUCAAUUUAUUUUCGAAUUAAAGUAUAUAUAUUUUAUUACUUAGUUUUAUUUUAGUCUUGUUGACAUUUUAUGAACCAUUCCCCUUUAGUUCAUUCCACCUUAAGAUAAAUAAAAAAUGAUAAAAAUAAUUAUAGUAAUAAAAAAUAAGUUAAAAUAAAUGAGCUCUUUUUACUUAAUUUAAUUUUUUUUAAAAAUAAAUUAGUUAAAAUAAAUGAGUUCUUUACUUUGUUAAACUUUCAAAAUUAGUCAAAGUCGUGAGUUCUUUACUUAGUUAAAUUCUAAAAAUAAUUAGUUAAAAUAAAUAAAUUCUUUUACUUAAGUUAAAAUUUUAAAAUUAGUCAAAAUCAUUUUGGUCAAAUCGCCGGUCAACCGCGAGUUAGCGAGCAUUCCAAGGGCCUAAUACCUUCUCGGAAUGUACAUUUGAACUCGAACCCUUUUUCAAUUGAUUUUAUCUGUUUAAGUCUUUUGAAAAAUCUUGUAUUUUUCUUUAUUUUUUACUAAAAAUCAAGUGGCGACUCUGUUCUUUUGGAAAUUCGAUUUCUCUUAAAUCAUAAGUUUAAUCGAUUUUUCGAAAACUAAGUCAUUUUCCUUUUACAUAUAUUUUUAAGUAAAACACUAUGAAGGAAAACAUUUUCCGGAAAAUGUUUUGGAAAAUGUUUUCCAAAUUAACUCAUUUUCCUCAAAUUUAAGGAAAAUGACUUCCCUUCAAAACUUAAGGAAAACAUUUUCCAAAACUCUCUUCCAACUUCCCAUUAAAAAAAAAAAUUGUUGAAAAAAUCAGUUUAUUUGGUCCCUACCCUCAAACCAGCCCCCCAACCACCCCACAAAAAAAUAAUAAUUUAAAGUUUGUUUUUAAAUUCAAUAUUUUUACCCCACCCUCACCCCUACCACCACCCUCUCCCCAAAAAAAUAAUUAAAAGUUCUUUUUAAAAGAUAUUUGUAAUUUCAAUUUUUUUUAUUUUUUUACCCCUACCCUCGCCCCCCAUCAGCCCCCUAUUACCCCCCACCCCUUUCAAAAAGAAAAAAAAUUUAAGAUUGUUUUUNNNNNNNNNNNNNNNNNNNNNNNNNNNNNNNNNNNNNNNNNNNNNNNNNNNNNNNNNNNNNNNNNNNNNNNNNNNNNNNNNNNNNNNNNNNNNNNNNNNNNNNNNNNNNNNNNNNNNNNNNNNNNNNNNNNNNNNNNNNNNNNNNNNNNNNNNNNNNNNNNNNNNNNNNNNNNNNNNNNNNNNNNNNNNNNNNNNNNNNNNNNNNNNNNNNNNNNNNNNNNNNNNNNNNNNNNNNNNNNNNNNNNNNNNNNNNNNNNNNNNNNNNNNNNNNNNNNNNNNNNNNNNNNNNNNNNNNNNNNNNNNNNCCCUACUAGCCCCCACCCCCCAAAAAAAAUUAAGUUUGUUUUUAAAAAAUAUUUUCAAUUUCAACAAUUAUUUUCUACUCUAAUAAAACUAAAAGAAAUUUUUCAAAAACAUUUUUCAUUCAUAAAUCAAACACUAAAUGUUUUUUCGGAAAAUAUUUUCUACUCACCAACCAAACAUGAGAAAAUAAGUCAAAAAUCAACUUGUUUUUCAAGAAAGCAUUUUCUAGGAAAAUAUUUUCCUUCGUACCAAACACACCCUAUAUCUUAGUCAUUCAAUUUUACUUAUAUCAAUUUAGAGGGAAAAAUGAAGAGGAGUCGGAUCCAGAUAUAUUCUUGGACAACUCUUGAUUCACAUAAAUUAAAGUGAGAAAUGGCAGAGGAAGUGAUGAACAACAAACAGAUCAUUCUAAAACAUUAUGUGGAAGGUUAUCCUAAGGAAUCUGAUAUGGAAUUUAAGAAUAACAACAUUAAAUUGAAUGUUCAAGAAGGUUCUAAUGUUGUUAUUUUGAAGAAUCUUUACUUGUCUUGUGACCAUUACAUGCGUUCACACAUGAGCAAACUUGAGGGUAGCUAUUUUCAGGUGUUGACGGAAUAUAUUCUUGUGUCUAUCACAAGUGCAGUAACAGUGACAAUAGCGGGAGUUGUAAAGGAGGCGGUAACUAUCUUGGUACGUCGUAGUAGGUUCAACCUUUAAAGUGUCUAUCUAUGUAUUAUGUCAAAGCAAUUUUAUGCACUUUUAAGUCCUAUUUUUGCUGGUUGACUGAAGCUUACUUACCUCAAAGAUAUUGUACUAUUCGAACACUGAUAGACUGAGAUAGGACGUGGAUUGCUUCAAUCUUGAAUAUUUUUCGAUAUUUGUCAAAUUUCUAUGGUCUAUGGUGUCCAUGUUUUCAACAAUUUGUGUAAUAGCUGGUAAUUUGCUGCCCUGUUCAGGUUGCUGUAUUUUAUUUUCACGACGACUUUACCUGGAUGAAAGGGUUCGGUCUCAUGACGAUAAUGUUUGGUGUCAGUUUGUUUAACUGGUACAAGUAAGUGACUGAAUCCUUCAUGUUCUAGCAAGAAGUUAUCUCGUAAUGUCCCGUUCUGCACUGACAUUAAAAUUAGAUUUACUGAACACAAUAUGUGUGUAUUCUGUUUUACGUUAUCAAUUUAUGAUCCUCAGUUAGUAGACACCUUAACUUAGCCUCAACUGAUCAAAGUAAACACUCUAACUUUAAGAAUACGCAUCUAGACACCUCAACUAGUCCCCACUGUGUCUCAUGGACACCUGACACAUAAAUUUUGGAGGUGUCUAUGUUUGAUCCUUUUGUAAGUUGGAGUGUUCAACUGACACAGUGGAGACGAGUUGAGGAGUCUGGAUGUGCGUUCUCAAAGUUGGAGUGUUUAAACUAUUCCUAUCACUUUAGUCGUCCUUAAUCAAAACGAACUUAAGCUAUAGUAGUUCAAUCAAAUUGUUGAUAUCGAGCCAUUUUUAGUCGAAAAUGGGACUUCAGCAUGUGUUGAAGUCGUAAGUUUUCCAUUUUUGUUACUUAGGUAUGACAAAAUUCAUAAAGGUAGCACAAGUGAAGAUGAAACUGCAGGAUCACCAUUAGGAAAUGCAGCUACCAAGUACGUUAUACUUGAAGAAAUGGAAGACCAAGACCAUGGUCCUUGAAGUUUUACAUAUGACAUUCUAACUACGCUGCGUACUGAUGGCAUUUUGUAUUUGCAACGGAAGGAAGGGGACGAAAAAAUGCGUAGAUUUUCUAGCAAAUGAAAGUCAAGUCGUAUACAUGAAGAAGAUUUGUUAAUCAAGGAAGAUGAGGAAUUUGAGUUUUUUCACCUAGUUGACUUUAAGACAUGUUGCUUAUAGAAGAUAUUAGGAAAUAUGUUACUCCCUAUGUGCUAAAAAAAUAAUGAUAUACAUUUUUAUACUUGGUAGAAAUUUAACUUUUAAACUUCUCGUUUUACCCCUAAAGUUAGGGGUGGGCGUUUGGUAUUCGGUUCGAAAUUUCUAAAUUUCGAGUUUGGUAAUUCGAUAAUUGAUAGUAAAAAAUAGAUAUCAAUUAUCGAAGAUUUAAAUUUUGAUAAUCGAUAAAUCAAACUUCGAUUCAGUACGGUAUUUAGUAAAUACCGUAUUGAAGUUGUAGUCUAUUGUAUAACAAAGUUAGUGGGAUAAGAAACAAAUACCCCCUAGACUAUGAUCAAAAUCUCAGAGACACACCUUAACUAAACUAAGAUCCUAUUACCCCUGAACCUUUUUUUUUUUGUAAUUUUGUACACCUUAUUAGCUUACGUGGCAUCCAAACAUCUCUCAUGCACUUCAACUCGUGGAGUCACAGAGUGUGCCACAUAGGGCGGGUUUAUACGGAAUGGGGUGGGGCGGGGCUGAUUUUAAUUUUGCGGGCUAAGACAAAAUCUGCCCUGCACCGCCCCAUUGGCAUCCCUACUCACCCACUUCAUUACGCAAAUCAACAUGUAUGGGUGACUUGAAAAAGAAACUUACAAAAUGUUACUAGUUAAGAACUAACUACUUAAAUACACUACAUUACAAUAUUUUGAAUCUUACCAGAUUUUGGUGCGUCCAGAAAAUAUGUACUCCUACACUUGAAUCUGAAGUUUAAGAUUGGACGUUACAAUAUACAGCUUGAACUCCUUUAUUUUGACUAUUUUUUUAAUAUUAUUUUUCUAGAGAUAUUGUAGGAUUUGAAAAUGAAUGAUCACAAAUCUUUCUACCUUUUGUCUGUUAAAAUCAUGUCAUUUUUUCUUACUAUAAGUUGAAGAAAAAGAGAAAUUGGUCUCUUUUUUUGUUUACAUGAUAAUAUUAGUGCACCAAGUUGGAAAUGUGAGACAAAAUUAUAUGAGUUUGAAGUUGAAGUUUGAUUUCGACAUGUCAUUUAAAUUUUUAAAUUGUAUUUUUAAUAAUAAAUUUAUAAAUUAUGAUAAUUAUUGAAAUUGUCUUAAUUUUUUUAUACAAUUUUAUAAAAUAAGCAAAAAAAUUCAUAACAAAAAUAUAAAUAAUAUCAUAAAAUUAUUUUUAAAAUCUACAUUUUUUAUUGAUCGAACUUUAGUUUAAUAAAAAAAUAUAAUUAAAUAUUGCUCUCUCCGUCCUAUUUUAUGCGGUACUUUUUGAAUUUCGAGAUUCAAACAAGUCUAUCUUUGACGGUAAGUUUUUCAUAAAUCUUUUAAACAUUUUGAAUUAUUAAUUAUUGUGACUUCUAGUUUUUUUUUACAUAGUUAACAAAUAUUUAAAUUUUAUUUCAAAAAAAUUGAAGAUUUUGUAUGCAAUUUUCCGAUCACACUUAAACUGUUUGACUCUAAAAAAAUGAAAAAUAUCGCAUAAAUUGAGACAAAUGGAGUAGUAAAAUUAAUACCUAGCAAUAUUUUUAAAUUAUUAAUUAUUCUAAUAUAUCAUUUUUUUACAUAAUUUUUUUAUCUCAAUAUAUGUGGUACUGCUAAAUUUUUGAGAGUACUCACACCUACUGAAUUUCCACAUGCAGUUUGUGUUAUUUGUGUGUGGAAAGCUCUAUAAGUCCCAUCUUUUUUAUUUCUUUUUCCUUACACUUAAAAAGAUCGUUUGUUAGGUGGGAUAAGACGUGAUAUUUUUGAGUUACUUUUGAGAUAAAAUUUAUUUCAUAAAUUGAGAUAUUUAAUGAGAUAAUUAGUUAUCUCACUAAUACAUAUAAAAUAAGUAAAUUUAUCUCAAAACUGACUUAUGCUUCCAAUUAAAUGAAAAAUAAAAUUAUUUAUAUUUUAUUUUGAAAUUAUUAUCUUGUUUUCUUUGGUACCAAAUAAAUAUGAAUCCUUAAGCUUUUCCUCUUCAAUUAUUAGGGACCACGCUUAAGGCUUGUACAACAUUGCUAAAAGCUACUCACGUUUAAACCCUUGUUCUUAUUUUUGUAUUAUAUAGUUUUAAUAAAUAGUGAUUUUAGUGAUAAUUUCAAUUUUAUUCUAUUUGUUAUUUGACUAUGCACAUUUAAUUUUUAAUUAUUUAAAGUGUAAAAGUUUUGGUGCUUGAAGUUAACAAAAGUUAACUACUCUUAUUUAAUAAAAUGAUUAUUUGAAAAUAUAAAAAAUAAAAUAAAUGAUUGGUGAUUCUAAAUACUUGAGUGAAUAGAUUUACUCCAGUCCCUUAAGAAAAUUCAAAAGUAAGUCGUAUCAUCUUGCAUUCCAAGUAUUCGAUUAAUUAAUUCCUAGUUAAAACGAUAGUCUAGUUUUAGAAUUUAAUUACUCAAUCACUUUUUUGUUUGAAGACAAGGUUAGAAAAUUCGCAAAAUCACACUCUUUAACAUCUUGACACAAGUCUACUCUUUGUGGGAUCAACCCAAAUUUUUGUUGAGUUUAUUAUGGCUACGAGGCCGGAGGCGAACCCAUGUAUAUAUUUGAGGGUGCACAUGCACCUGUUAAUUUCGAAAAUUAUCAUAUAUAUAUAUAUAUAUAUAGAAACUUGUAGAAAUUAAAUAUAAUUAAUAGUAGCCCAAUGCAUAAUAAUGUGCUUUAUACCGCUAGUACAUGUUAAGACAUUCGCCCACGUGACUAGGGUUCUAUCCUAACUAGAACCUUUUUUCUUUUUAGCUUAAUAUUAAUGUACUCCUACACUUGAAUCUGAAGUGUAAGAUUGGACGUUACAAAAUACAGCUUGAACUCAUUUAUUUUGACUAUUUUUUAAUAUUAUUUUUCUAGAGAUAUUGUAGGAUUUGAAAAUAUAAUUAAAUUUUAUUCCCUCCGACCUAUUUUAUGCGGCAUUUUUUGGAUUUCGAUAUUCUAACAAGUUUAUCUUUGACAGUAAAUUUUUCAUAGAUCUUUUAAAUAUUUUGAAUUAUCAAUUAUUGUGACUUAUAGUACUUUCUACAUAGUUUACAAAUAUAUAAAUUAAAUUUAAAAAAAUUGCAGAUUUCGUACGUAAAUUUUCGAUCACACUUAAACCGUUUGACUCUCAAAAAAUGAAAAUUGUCAAAUAAAUUGGGACAUGGAAAUAAUAAUAUUAAUAUCUAGCAAUAUUUAAUAAUUUACCGGUUGGUACACCUAAUAACCGCCUACAUGAAUAGCAACAAUAUUUUAAUAAAAGAUCCGUACACAUUUAUGUAAUCUGACUGAUUUGAAUUAUUCGAAAUAAAAUUUAUCUUAUAAAUUGAGAUGUUUGAUUAGAUAAUUAAUUAUUUUACUACAUAUAAAAAAAUAAUUUAUCUCACCAUUAUAAAUUAUAUAAUUUAAUAACUAACUAAUACUCCUUAUUAUAUAAAAUUUUAAAAAAAACAAUUUUAAAGUUUAGAUCAAAAUAAUUAUCUCUUUUUCCUCUUCAAUUAUUAGGGUCACGUUUAAACGACUGGCACAACAUUUCUAGCUGUAAUUGGUAGGUAAAGUCCUUGAGUGAAUGGCUAAGAAAAAAGAAUAAAGUAUUGAACAUGUGGAAAAAAAGAUAUUACUCCCUCCAUAUUAUUGUAGGUGACAUCUUUUCACUUGACACGAUAUUUAAAAAAAAAAAAUGAUUUUUGAAAUUUAUAAUUUAAAAUAAUUUAUAGUUAUCUAAAUAUCUAUGACUCGAUUAUUUUAUUUCAUAAGUUUUAAAAAAAUUCUUUCUUACUUUCUUAAAUUUAAUGUUGAUUUAAACUAACCUGGUCAAUUUAUGUAGCACUUUUUAUUUUUCAAUAGUCAAAUGGUCUAAUCGAAAAUUUGCGCAUGUGAUCUUCAAAUUUUUAAGUCAAUUUUUUUACUUUUGAAAGUGUUUUGACAAAUACACAAGCUUAUCAAAAUACAAAGCUAAUAACACAGAUGAAAAGACAAUAAAAUUUCUUUUUAAAAAAUAUUUUAAGUUAUUAAUUAUUCUGAUAUAUAAUUUUUUAUGUGAUACUAAUAAAUUUUCGAGAGUACUCAUAACUAGUGAAUUUCCACAUGCAGUUUGUGUGGCGGUGUGCGGAAAGCUAUAAUUUAAGUUAGGGAUAUUUUCUUCUUUAUCAACUUCUCACUUAUAUAUACAUUACUUGUUCAUUUCAUCUUCUUAGGACAAGUUAAGUUUGAGUACAUUUAACUAUGAACUAUUCAAUGCAAGUUAAGAUUUUGUCCAAAAACCUCAUUAAACCAUCAUUACCAACGCCACAACACCUUAAAAAUUACAAGUUAUCUUUCUUUGAUCAAGUUCAAGGUGUAACUUAUAUAAAAGCAACGGUCAAUUGUAAGCUUGAUGAUUUCCUUCAACAAGCAAACAAAGACGUUGAUCUAGCAUUGCCAUUUUGGCCUCAAGGAAUUAUGGAUGUGGACGAGACGAAUUUAUUCGUCACGCCAGUUAUGGUUGUGCAAGUCACAACAUUUGAAUGUGGUGGUCUAGCCCUAGCUAUUAGCCAUGCACACCCUGCUAUGGACGGAUGCACCACAUUCAAAUUCAUUUAUGAAUGGGCUAAAGUGUGCAAAUUUGGUACUCCUUCUAAGGAUAUCAACUUGAACCUCAAUUUAGGCACUCUUUUCCCUUACAAAGAUUUAACAACUAUUCUUGAGCCUCCGGUUGACGAAGGCAAACGUAAAAACUCUAAGUUAGUUGCCAGAAAGUUUGUUUUUGAGGAAGAUGCAAUAUUGAGGCUCAGAGAGAAAUUUGACUCAACAACUGGCGAAGGUUUGAGUUUCAAACCUUCGCGAGUUGAGAUGAUUACAACACUUUUAUGGAGGUCACUUAUCCGUUCCACAGGAAGUACUUCACAUUUGAAACGGUCUAUAAUGGCAUUUCCAAUUAAUUUACGUGGUAAGGUAGCAGCUUUUCCUGAAAUUGCCAACUCUUUUGGGAAUCUUAUUAUCGAAAUUCCAAUAAAAUUUGAACACGACGAUGAAACAAAAAUGGAGUCGUUGCAUCACAUUGUAAAACUAAUAAGAGAGUCAGUUCAAGUGAUUAUCAGUAAAUGUGUCAAAGCUACUCCGGAUGAAAUAGUUUCUUUGGUUAUCGACUUAUACAAGGAUAGUUACGCCGGAUUAGAAUGGGGAGGAGACAAUGAAGUUAUGAAUUUUACAUGCUCAAGUUUAUGUAGGUUCCCCGUACAAAAAACUGAUUUUGGAUGGGGAAAACCAAGUUUAAUGCACUUUGGGUCAAGGCAUAGCCAAGUUUUUUGGUUGUAUGAUACUGAAUGUGAGACUGGAAUUGUUGUGCAAAUGGAUUUUGGAGGAAAAGUACAUGGAUAAACUUGCAUGUGACCAAGAUAUCAUGGAUUUUGUUAAAUUUUUAGGGUUUAAUUUUCAUGUUCUUUCUUCAUUUAAUUUGUACUCCCUUUGUUUUAAUUUAAGUACGUGUGUUGCUAUUGUUUUUCUUUGGUUUAAUUUGUUUUGAAUAUUAAUGUCAUUUUCUAUGAACUCGCUUUGACUAUAAUUAAGUAGCAUUUUAAGUUGUAGCAAAGAUUAUACUAAAAUAAAUGGGAGAAGGCACAAAUACCCCCUAGAUUAUGAUCGAAAUUCCAGAGACACACCUUAACUAAACUAAGGUCCUAUUACCCCUGAACUCAUUUUAUAUGUAAUGUUGUACACCUUUUGGCUUAUGUAGACACGUAAGUUUUGACCGAGCAUAAGACUUUACACUUGUUUUUAUUCCUUAAAUAUUUAUUUUAGGUUAAGUUAGAUAUUUUGAUUUUUGUCUUAUUUUAGUAAGUUUAUUUUAAAAGAUUUGAAAAUAACAAAAAAGAAAAGAUAUUUUCAAUAUAUUAAACUUGUUGGACAUUUAAAAAAGAAACUCGUUGGACAUUUAAAAAAUAUUUUCUUUGAUUAUAAUCUUUUAAAAAUAUAUAUUUUACAUUAUUAAUAAUUCUUAUUAAAACAAAGUAGCGUGUGAUUUUGAUUUGCUUUAAUAUCAAGCAGGAAUGAGUCCAAGACAGGGGCGGAUGACAUGGCGAGGGUGGUCAGAUGAACAACCUUCAUCGGAAAUUUUUAUGGAUAUAUAUACUAAAUAUCGAUUUUUUUGGAUAUAUACUAACUGUUGAACAACCUUGACACAAUAAAGGUUGACAGCCCAGCGGUUAAGGUUGUGCAAAGUUGCCUUAGCGUUCCUGGUUCGAGCCCAAGUGUUGGCGUUUUCUUUAAAUUUUUCAUUAUUCCAUUUGUUCUCUUAGAAAAGGCAAAACUCAGCCUGGGUUCGAUCCCAGGCUUGAACAUUUCAUUUAUUUAAUAUUUGUUCCACUUUUCUCUUAAGAAAAAGUACAAAAGUUACCUUUUUUAAGUUAAGAAAAACAAAAGGAAACAAAAGGUCUAUUUAAAUGGUUGCAUAGUGCCUUAUGUAGUAAUCAUUGUAUAUUUCUUCCUCAACCGCCAUUGAAGUGUGAAAAGGUAUUUCUUAAUUCUUUUUUUCCUUUAGUUCAGUUUUUUCUAAUCAAGUGUUGAAAGACUUGAAUAUCUUAAUUUUUAUGUUAAAAGCUACUUUAUUUAUUUGAGUAUCGAUUAACUAUUUGGUGUAUUGUGGAUGAUUUUUAAUAAGUUUGGUAUACUUGAACUUGACUACUAUUUCAGUUUGGUGUUCAAUGAGUUUGGAGAAAUAUUUUUUAGAGUACCCAAAACAAGUUUGGCGCCUCAAAAUCAAAAUCAACUACGCUGAGAUGAAAAUGUCAACCAAAUAGAAAUAUCAUCUCACUCUUCCCAAAGACAAGAAUUUGAUGUGAAUGAUUUAAAGGCUGAUCCGGCUGAAAGAACUCCAAUUUUUAAUUAUCAUCCAAACCUUUGUGAUGAGAUAAGGAGGGCAUAUAUCAUUAAAGGUCCUUGUCAACCUCAAAAUCAUCAUUUUCCUCAAACUUAAUUUUUUGGAACAUCACGUCGUUUUGUUUAUACGUGGUUUGAUGAAUCUUGUCAACCUCAAAAUCAUCAUUUUUCUCAAACUAAUUUUUUUGGAACACCACGUCGUUUUGUUUAUACGUGGUUUGAUGAAUCUCGUGAUUGGUUGGAAUACAGUAUUAGUGCGGAUGCUGCUUAUUGUUUACCUUGUUAUUUGUUUCAAGGAGAAAACAUUAAUCAAGGUGGUGGUAAUGUAUUUUCGACUAAGGGAUUUACAAAUUGACAUAGAAAGGAUAGCUUUGCUACACAUAUUGGUCUACCGAAUAGCGUUCAUAAUCAAUCCAAAAGAAAGUGUGAAGAUCUCAUGCGAGAACAACAAUCCAUUCAAGCCGCAUUUUACAAGUUGGAUGAUAAAAGUAAGCAUGAAUAUCGGAUUCGAUUAAACGCUUCAAUCGAUGUGGUAAGACUUCUCUUGGAUCAAGGUUUUGCAUUUCGUGGUCAUGACGAGAGUGAAUCGUCAUUGAACAAGGGUAAUUUUCUUGAAGUUCUUUCUUGGUUAGCUGCUAGAUGUGAUGCAAUUAAACCUUUUGUGUUAGAAAAAACUCCAAAAAAUAAUUAAAUGACUUCUCAUGACAUCCAAAAAGAUAUUGUGACUGCGUGUAAGAUUGAAACAGUUAAGGCAAUAAUAGAGGAUAUAAAUAGUGACUACUUUGCUUUAUUGGUUGAUGAAUCUAGAGAUGUGUCACGCAAAGGGCAAAUGGCUAUUUGUCUAAGAUAUGUUGACAAAAUGGGGUUUGUAAUGGAGGCAUUUAUUGGACUUGUUCACAUUAAAGAUACUAGUGCUUUAUCUCUAAAGAAAGCAAUUGUAGAUGUACUUGCUCACCAUUCUUUGACUUUAUCUAAUGUACGUGGGCAAUGUUACGAUGGGGCAAGUAAUAUGCAAGGUGAGCUAGGUGGUCUUAAAACAUUGAUUAGACAAGAAAGUAGAUCGGCUCAUUCUGUUCAUUGUUUUGCUUAUCAACUUUAAUUGACUCUUGUUGCGGUUUCUAAAAAGUGUGUUCAAGUAGGUGAACUUGUAUUAUUAAUUUCAAAUAUUUUGAAUGUGUUGGGAGCUUCUUUUAAACGUGUUGAUAAUUUUCGAGAAUCUCAAAAAAAGCAUCUUCAAAUGGCAUUGGAUAUGGGUGAACUAGAAAUGGGUAGAGGGUUGAAUCAAGAACUUGGUCUUGUUAAAGCCGGUGAUACUCGUUGGGGAUCUCACUACAAGUCAUUUGGAAACUUUAUUNNNNNNNNNNNNNNNNNNNNNNNNNNNNNNNNNNNNNNNNNNNNNNNNNNNNNNNNNNNNNNNNNNNNNNNNNNNNNNNNNNNNNNNNNNNNNNNNNNNNNNNNNNNNNNNNNNNNNNNNNNNNNNNNNNNNNNNNNNNNNNNNNNNNNNNNNNNNNNNNNNNNNNNNNNNNNNNNNNNNNNNNNNNNNNNNNNNNNNNNNNNNNNNNNNNNNNNNNNNNNNNNNNNNNNNNNNNNNNNNNNNNNNNNNNNNNNNNNNNNNNNNNNNNNNNNNNNNNNNNNNNNNNNNNNNNNNNNNNNNNNNNNNNNNNNNNNNNNNNNNNNNNNNNNNNNNNNNNNNNNNNNNNNNNNNNNNNNNNNNNNNNNNNNNNNNNNNNNNNNNNNNNNNNNNNNNNNNNNNNNNNNNNNNNNNNNNNNNNNNNNNNNNNNNNNNNNNNNNNNNNNNNNNNNNNNNNNNNNNNNNNNNNNNNNNNNNNNNNNNNNNNNNNNNNNNNNNNNNNNNNNNNNNNNNNNNNNNNNNNNNNNNNNNNNNNNNNNNNNNNNNNNNNNNNNNNNNNNNNNNNNNNNNNNNNNNNNNNNNNNNNNNNNNNNNNNNNNNNNNNNNNNNNNNNNNNNNNNNNNNNNNNNNNNNNNNNNNNNNNNNNNNNNNNNNNNNNNNNNNNNNNNNNNNNNNNNNNNNNNNNNNNNNNNNNNNNNNNNNNNNNNNNNNNNNNNNNNNNNNNNNNNNNNNNNNNNNNNNNNNNNNNNNNNNNNNNNNNNNNNNNNNNNNNNNNNNNNNNNNNNNNNNNNNNNNNNNNNNNNNNNNNNNNNNNNNNNNNNNNNNNNNNNNNNNNNNNNNNNNNNNNNNNNNNNNNNNNNNNNNNNNNNNNNNNNNNNNNNNNNNNNNNNNNNNNNNNNNNNNNNNNNNNNNNNNNNNNNNNNNNNNNNNNNNNNNNNNNNNNNNNNNNNNNNNNNNNNNNNNNNNNNNNNNNNNNNNNNNNNNNNNNNNNNNNNNNNNNNNNNNNNNNNNNNNNNNNNNNNNNNNNNNNNNNNNNNNNNNNNNNNNNNNNNNNNNNNNNNNNNNNUUGUCCUAAAGUAUGAACCCCCUUGGCGAAAAUUCUGGCUCCGCCACUGGUCCAAGAUUGUUAGAAUAAAUAAAUAUAUAUAUAUAUAAAUCAGUUUUUAUUUUGUACCUAAGAAUUAUAUGAAGGGAUAGAGUUUAGAGUUUUAAAUUUCAGUUAUGUGCUUUUGCGGUCUAUUUUUGCUGUUAGUUUUAUUAUUAUUUUGUACCAAUAAUAAAAUAUAAUUUUUAAUAUUGCUUUAAUUAGUUGAUAUUUUAUUAUAAUUUAUUAUUUAUAUGUAUAGUUAAUUAUUAUUUUUUUAAAAGUAAAAUAAAAAUAAGAAAAUAACUCACCCCACUUCCCAUACCCCACAAAUCCCAUAUACUCACCCCUAUGCUACCACAUCCCCACGAAACUAUCAACAACACAAACAGUCACCCCUAUACCCACACACGAACAAAAAAAAAAAAGGAUUGAGUUGUUGUUUUUGACGGCUUCAAGUUCACGGAUUCAAAAGUCUGCUAUAUUAAUAUUUUUGGAAAAUCAGUAGACUGUUAGGCGUUGUUUUUCGUGGUUUAAUCUUCAUAAGAGAUAACAUUUAUUUCUUCUUGGUAUAAUUUAAUGUCACGAUUGUUCAAGAUUUGAUUCCAAUGUUAUAAAGUUAUUCAAAUUUUAUGUGUGUUUAGCUUUGCCAAUAUACUAUUGAAAUACAUGAAAAUAUUUGUAUUGUUGUAUUUGGAUUAAAUAUGAUAUAACGUAUAUCGCUUCUUGCUCACUAAGGAAUCAAUAUUUUUCUUAAUUCGCUCUAUUCUAUCAAGCCGAAACGUGAUUCAUGGGUUGCUGAUAAUUAAUUUGAUCAAUUCACAUAGUUUUGAGUUAUUCGUUGAUAGUGCAAUUUAAAAAUUAUUUUUUUUAGUAAAAAAAAUGCAUUUUUAUACGAUUUAAUCGUUAUCAUCCGAAGUGUUUUAGAUUAUUGGUAUUUUAUAGGUCAUAGAUCUAAUGCCAGUUUCAAAUGUUGUGUGAAUAUAAAUGUUUGGUUUUUUUUUAUUAAAAAAAAGGCUCUUUUAUGAGUCUAUUAAUUCAGGAUACUAGCUUUUGGGGUGAUCACUUGCAAAUAAUCACGCCACUUCAUUUUUUAAGCGUAAAUAUUUGUUAAAUUAGAUAUAGCCACAUAUGUCAUUAAUUAUUAGUUAAAGUGUGCCUUUAGUGUAUUUGUUUAUUUAGUUAUGCUUUAUUGUAAAUAAUUAAUUAUAUUAAAAAAAUAUAGACUAAUAACAUUCUGUUUUGCUAGAAACUGUAAGUACUAUCAUGUUAAUAAGACAAUGUAAUUAAUUGAAUUUAAUAUUUCGUGGGCAGGUGAUAAGUUAAAUGUAGAAAAGUUUGGUCACUUUAACAUUUUACUAUUUAUUUUUAGAUUGCUUUAAUAUAAUCAUAGGUAUAUAUUAGGCUUUAUUAUACAUUAGAUGAGUAACAAUAAUAAUUAAAUUUCAUCUCAAUUAAGAAUGUGGUUCCAUAUGAGAUACUUAAGAAAUUCAAGGAUGCGGUUACGCACCUUUGCCAAAUUCAAGGAUGCGGUAACACACAUUGGCCAAAUUAUUUUAAUAAUUAAUUUUGUUAAUUCAAACCAAGAGGUGUAAAUUGGGAGUAUUAGGUGUGAUGAACUCGAGAGGGGAAGACAGUUAUGUCUCCAAAUGUCAAUAUCGGUAAUGCAGUUAUGCAUCCGGUUUAAGACUAAUAAAAAUUCAACAAUUAAAAAAUAAGCAAACCAUGACAUAUAGACACAAAUUAUCCAAAAACAUAUCAAGAUAAGUAUAAGUCAAUAAAAGCGACCGUGCUAGAACCACGGGACUCGAGAGAUGCCUAAUACCUUUCCCUCGGUCAACAUAAUUCCUUACCCAAAUUUUUGGUUCGCAGAUCAAACAAAGAGUCAUUUCCUUUUGAUUAGGCAUUAAACAAAAUGUGACUUGAAACACCAUAACUCAAUUUCAAGUAGCGACUCUGAAAAAAAUAAAAAAAUAAAAAAAAUAAUUCCUUAAUCAAUACGGUCACUUAAAUUGGAAAAACCCUUUUCGCCGUGCGAAAAAAGGGGUGUGACAUCUCUGGCGGCUCCGCUGGAGAUACUAACCAAAAUUUGAGGUUUUUUUUGUUGACUUUUAUUUUAUCUUAUUUUAUUUUUUUUGGAUAUAUUGUGUGUUAUUGCCUAGUAUGAUACUUGUUGCUCUUUUAUCGCUUUUUAUAUUGUUGAACUAUAAAUUGUCUUUCUUGGCGCAACCAUCUAAGUUGGCAGGGUUUAAUGACAUGUGUUGAAGUCGUAAUAUUUUCCAUUUUCGUUACUCAGGUAUGACAAAAUUCAUAAAGGUAGCACAAGUGAAGAUGAAACUGUAUCACCAUUAAGAAAUGGAAGAUCCAGACCAUGGUCCUUGAAGUUUUACAUAUGACAUUCUAACUACGUUGCGCUCUGAUGGCGUUUUGUAUUUGCAACGAAAGGAAGGGGACGAAAAAAUGCGUAGAUUUUCUAGCAAAUGAAGGUUAAGUCGUAUAUAUGAAGAAGAUUUGUUAAUCAAGGAAGAUGAGGAUGUUGAGUUUUUUCAUCUAGUAAACUUUAAGACAUGUUGCUUAUAGAAGGGAAAUUUAUUACUCUCUAUGUGCUAAAAAAAUAAUGAUAUAUAUUUUUAUACUUAGUAGAAAUUUAACUUUAAAACUUCUCAUUUUACCCCUAAAGUUAGUUCGAGAUUUCCAAAUUUCGAGUUCGAUAGUUAAAAAUAGAUUCAAUUCAGUAAUACCGUACUGAAGUUGUAGGAUUUGAAAAUGAAUGAUCACAAAUCUUUCUACUUUUUGUUUGUUAAAAUAAUGUCCUUUUCUGACUAAGUUAAAGAUAAAGAGAAAUUGGUCUCUUCUUUUGUUUAGAUGAUAAUGUUAGUGGACCUAGCUUGAAAUGUGAGACAAAAUUAUAUGAAUUGAAGUUUGAUUUCGAUAUGUAAUCUGACUGAUUUGAUGUUAUUUUUAUUCUUUAUUUGAUUUCAAGUAUGCAUAAAAAACAAAUGUAACGUAUAUUUACAUCCACACAAAUAUCUACACAUAUUUUUAGUUUAAGAUUACAAAAUUUUAAAGGUCGCUAUACUUUCAUAAAUUAAUAUCCCAUGAAACUAAGAUACACAAACUAAAACUAGCGGAGUAACUUAGUACUAAUUCGAUUUGCUUCAUACAUUGUUUUAGUACUAGACAUAUAAGCUAGUGCUAACACAGACUCAAUAACAUAGAUAGAAUUUGGAAAGACAAAUGAUUAUUAACAUGAUUAUUAUUAAUUUACGAGACUUUUACGAUGAUUUUUUUCUAUUCUAAUUUAUGUAAUACAAAUUAAUUUUCGUGUGUAUUAGCCCAAGAAUCUGGCGCCUCAGAGCACCAAAAAACAUUUUCUGAAAUUUUUUUAUGAGGACCUCUGUAAUGAGUUGGGAACCACCACUUAUACUCACACUAUUUCUUAACGCUUAUUUCCGCAUUUACUGACCCUUUUUUAGGAAUUACGUAAUUUUUUUCAAUUUUUGGGUGUAUUAGCCUAUGGAUCUGGCACAUUGGAGCACCCAAAUUUUUUUCUGAAAAAAACUUUAUGAGGAAUUUUGUAAUGAGUUGGAGAUCACCAUGUAUACUCACACCAUUUUUAACGACUAUUUCUGCAUUUAUAGAUUCUUUUUUAGAAAUUACGCAAAUUUCUCGAUUGUUCGUGUAUAUUAGCCCAUGAAUCUCGCGACUCGGAGCACCCAAAAUUGUUUUCUGAAAAAAUUCUAUGAGAACCUCUGUAGUGAGUAAGGGAACCACCACAUAUACUCACACCAUUUUUAAUGAUAUUUUCGCAUUUACAAGCCCUUUUUUAUGAAUUAUGCAAAUUCCUUGAUUUUUCGUGUGUAUUAGCCUUUGAAUCUGGCGCCUCAGAGCACCCGAAAAAAAAUUCUAAAAAAACUUUAUGAGGACUUCCAAAAUGAGUUAGGGAACCAGCAUGUAUACUCAUACCAUUUUUUAACGCCUAUUUUUGCACUUACCGACCCUUUUUUUUUUUAUAGGAAUUAUGCAAAUUAUUCGAUUUUUCAUGUGUAUUAACCCAUGAAUAUAUUGGUGAUAUGGCUUUCGGACGAAAUUUUUGCAAAACUCUUUAUGGAACCCUUCAAAGGGAGUUGGGGGAGCAGUACGUACAAUCUUACCAUUUUUAGAGUGAUUUAUGGCCAUUAAGGAGUCAAUUUUUAUUAGUUAGGCGAUUUUCUCAAUUUUUCAUGUGUGUUAGCCGAUUAAUAUUUUGGUGAUAUGACAUAUAGAUGAAUAUAUUACGAAACCUUUAUGGAAUUCUCUGUAGGGAGUUGGGGAAGCAUUACGUACAGUCUCACCAUUUUUAGAGUGAACUUUGGGCAUUUAGAGGCCAAUUUAUAGUAAUUAUGUGAUUUUCUCUAUUUUCUGUGUGUGUUAUCCCAUGAAUAAUUUGGUGAUAUGAUUCCGAACGAAUUUUUUUCGAACCUUUAUGGUACCCUCCGCAGGGAGUUGGUGGGGCAGUACGUACAGUCUCACCAUUUUAGAGUGAUAUGGCGGAGAAAUAACUCCUAAUAACCCAAAAUAUAUCUGAAAAAUGCCGAGGAGACGUAUUGCUUUCCCAACUUCCUACAGAGAGUUACGUAAUAAAUUUGCACAAAAAUCGACCAUCAAUCACAGCACCAAAAUAUUCAUGGGCUAACUGUGCCAACACAAACCCAAUAGCAUAGAUGGAAUUUGGAAUGAUAAUUAUGUGCCAACACAAACACCCAUUUUUACCACAACUUUUCAUUCACAUUAAAGCUAGAAAUGGCAGAAGAAAUGAUGAACAACAAACAGAUCAUUCUAAAACAUUAUGUGGAAGGUUAUCCUAAGGAAUCUGAUAUGGAAUUUAAGAAUAACAACAUUAAAUUGAAUGUUCAAGAAGGUUCUAAUGUUGUUGUUUUGAAGAAUCUUUACUUGUUUUGUGACCCUUACAUGCGAACCGUAUGAGCAAACUUGAGGGUAGCUAUAUUCAAUCUUUCACUCCUGGUUAUGUAAGUAUUUCAACAAUUUACUACCACACAUAUGAUUAUUUAGUUGAUAUAUAUUAUACGUUCAAAUUUCGAGGGUCAAAAAAUAUAUUUAAUGUAUGUUUAUAAGUAGGUGUUUGAAUUAACUUAUUUUAAACAGUUUUUGGCUUUUAAUCUUCUUUUUAAUUUUUUUGAAGGUGUUCGAUAAGGCUGAAAAAAAAAUACAAAAGUAAGUUAAAAGUUAAAAGUCUGAGUAUUCUCAACUCAUGAUCUCUUUUAAGUUUUUGCUUAUAAGUUACUUAAAACAAAGUCAAUCUAAACAACCCUUGAUCGUGAAUCUGGGAAGGGUGGUGAGUAUUAGCUUAAUUUCUAUAGUAGAAAGAUUAUUUUCAAAAGACUUUCAAAAUCAAGUUUAAAUUUUGAGAGUUGAACUUGUUAAUUUUGAUCUGGAUUUGGAUAUAAAAUCUUUAAAUAGUGUAGACCUUGAUUGUUUCAAUUUAACAUUAUUGGUGUGUUCAGUAUAUAUACUUUUCAAGAAAAUAUAUAAGUGAUUUUCUUACUUAUUUUUUUGUCCGUAGCCUAUUACAGGAUACGGAGUGUCUAAAGUUUUGAAAUCUGGUGAUUCAAAUUUUCAAGAAGGUGACUUAGUUUGGGGAAUGACUGGAUGGGAGGAAUAUAGUAUUGUAACAACUACUCAAAGUAUGUUUAAAAUUGAUCAUGACAAGGAUGUGCCUCUUUCCUAUUAUACAGGAAUCCUUGGUGAGUGUUUUCGACUGGGUUAAAGUAUUACAUAAUUAGUUGGGGUCUCUACUUAUAUGGAUUUGAAAAAAUUAAUUUUCGGGGUUGAGUUAGACCAAGCGUCAUAACUUUACAUGAUAUAUAUCUAUAUAUGAACCCUAUUUGGGAUCUUGGUCCACACUCUCCAGUUGGGCUUGGACUUGAAGGGAGUGCUAGAGUCCCACAAUGGUACUACAACAAAAACAGCUUUUAGCGGCAAUAAAUAGACACAUUAAUAAAGAGUGCUAAAGUCUUUCCCGGCAUUAGUUAAAUGUCAUUAGAUUAAAUGUCACUAAAGGCUUUAGGGGGAUAUACAAAGAGUGCUAAUUGCCGCUAAAAAUACAUAUUUAGUGGCAAUUGAGCUAUUACCGUUAAUUAAUUGCCACUAAAGAUCGUUUUUGAUGUAGUAUGGUUGGUUGGGGAAUAGAUUGAUAAUCGGCUUAUAUGGACUCGGACAAUAAUCUUCUGCUCUUGCAGGGAUGCCUGGGGUGACAGCUUAUGCUGGUUUUUAUGAGGUUUGCUCCCCUAAGAAGGGAGAAACUGUGUUGUUGUUGGUAGUGCUGGAAAUAAUUAAACAAAAGGUAAGUACUUAAACAUUUCAUUCCUUGAAUUUUAUUAGAGGCUUAUAAGUUAUCUUACUUAUCUUAAUCAUUGUUAAAUAAUCUAGCUAUCUCAUCUAUUCAUUAUUAUUAUUAAAGGUUGAUAUGUUGAAGACCAAGUUUGGUUUUUGAUGAAGCUUUUAACUAUAAAGAGGAGCAGAAUUUAGAUGCAGCUUUGAAGAGGUAAGUAAUCUUAUAAAUUCCCACAAGAAAACACUAACUAAUAUGAAAAAAAAAUAGUUUCCAGGGUGAAGGUGUUGGGGACUUUUUUUUUUUGCUUCUUUUAUUUUAAGCCAUCAUUUUAACGGUGUGGGGGGUUAGGCUUGACCCCUACUAUGUCUACAACAUCCAAAAAGUUACAAAAGCAGAGGGGACAUGGACCUAACCUCUGAUAGAGAACAACGAGGAUAAACUAAACAAUCUACGGUAAGACUAAGAUGACAUAGACUUUCAUACUAUAAGCAAAAUACAUUGGUUCAACUAACAAAAAAAAUUACAUUUGUUGUAUCUUCUCCUUAUGCUAAAGUUGCCACUUAUCUAGUAGAAAUAGUCCCUUCACCUCAGAAGAAUUGUGUGUGGUGGAUUGAACAUUAAGGGCAUAUAUGAAAAGAUAGCUAAUAUAACGCUAAAGGUAUAUAUGAACUGAUUGUAUAACGGAAAGCAAUACUAGACCUUUAAUUUUCGAUAAUAUAGGAGUAAAUAUGACUUUUUUUCGUAUUGGUUUAUUCUAUUAGGUACUUCCCUGAUGGAAUUGAUAUAUACUUUGAGAAUGUUGGAGGUAAAAUGCUUGAUGCAGUUCUUGUGAAUAUGAAACUUCAUGGUCGUAUUGCUGUGUGUGGAAUGAUUUCACAAUACAACCUUGACAAGACUGAAGGAGUGCACAACUUGUUUUGCCUCAUCGCGAAACGAAUCCGUAUGGAAGGAUUUUUUGUUUUUGAUUACUAUCAUCUUUAUCAUAAAUAUCUUGAAAUGAUCAUUCCACAAAUAAAGUCUGGUAACAUUGUGUAUGUGGAAGACAUAGCUGAAGGUUUUGAAAGUGCUCCUAGUGCUCUAGUUGGUCUCUUCUCUGGUCUCAAUGUUGGAAAGCAAGUUGUGAUGAUUUCAUGUGAAUGAAUGGAUUUGGAUCUUUUCCAUUUUCUCUCAAGUUUUUACUUGAAAGGAAAGAUAUUGUGUCAUGGUUAAAUACUUAAAUACGCAAACAUUUCUCAUGUAUUUACUAAUUCUCUGUAUGGUUUGAAAUAUUUAGUCAUUAAUUGAUAAUUUCAUACUAGAUUUCAAGUCAGUUGUACCUAAGUACAUGUAUUUUUGCUACUAGAUACAUUCUGAAAUGCAGAUACAUAGGAAGAGAGGGAGUGAGAGAGGAGAAGGAGAGAUGAGAGAGGCGAGAGGCAAGCAAAAGAGUUAGUGUAUCCCAGAUAUAUGCAAAUUACACUAGAUAAUCUGAGAUAUCAUAUACAAUUCAUAAACAUUCUGAAAUACAGAUACAUAAGGAGAGAGGCGAGCGAGAGAGGGAGAGAGGCGAGCAAUAUAAGAGAUAUGAGUGAGAGAUUCAGUGUUUCCAGAUACAUAUAAAUUAUGCUUGAAUACAGUAUAUCAGAAAUAAAUUGGACCUAAUUUUAAUUAAUAUAUCCAAGAUACAUAUAUUUGGAUGUGUCGCAUACAUGCGUUUGGGAACUGACACAAAUAAUACUUUCAAAGAGGCACAUAAUUAGACUCUAAACUAAAGAAAUUCUUAUUAUUUGCCCUUGAACUUAUUUAGGCAAAUAAAAGGUCGGAAGAGAUUUAAGAUUGCGAGAUUAAUAAUAAUUUAUAAAAUUAAAUAUAUAAUAUAGUAUUAAUUAUCUAAAUCAUAAAAAAGAUUUAUUUUGAUUAACUAAAUCUUAGUCAUUAAAUUUUACUUAUAUCAAUUUAGGGGGGGGAAAUGAAGAGGAGUCGGAUCCAGAUAUAUUCUUCAACAACUCUUGAUUUACAAAGUGAGAAAUGGCAGAGGAAGUGAUGAACAACAAACAGAUCAUUCUAAAACAUUAUGUGGAAGGUUACCCUAAGGAAUCUGAUAUGGAAUUUAAGAAUAAUAACAUUAAAUUGAAUGUUCAAGAAGGUACUAAUGUUGUUGUUUUGAAGAAUCUUUACUUGUCUUGUGACCCUUACAUGCGUUCACGCAUGAGCAAACUUGAGGGUUGCUAUGUUCAAUCCUUCACUCCUGGCUCAGUAAGUCGUUCACUUAUUUUAUUGAGUCGCCCUUAUAAAUAACGAUGUUGGAUUUAUCGAUGUAAAUUUUAUGUUUCCUUCGCCAUGUUAUGAUUGUGGAUUAUUUUUCCUUAAUUAACAUACAAGCAUUUCUAGUUAUUGUUGAAACAAUUUACAAGUGAGUUUAAAUUUCCCAUGCAAUUGUGUAGACCUUGGAUGUUUUUUAUUUAACAUUAUAUAGGGGUUUUGGUAAUGAUGAGUAUAUUUUUUUAGAAAAUGAAUGAGUUUCAUAUAUAUUUUCUUAUAUUUAAUAUGCGCAAGUAAAAAAUAUUUGUGUAUAAUCUAGAUAAAUACUAUGUCAAGUAGGCGUGUGCAGGGGCGGAGCCACGUAGGCUCCAGGGUGUCCAAUUGGACACCCUUCGUACGAAAAAUUAUACUACAUAUACAUGUAAAUUUUUGACUUUAUAUUGGUAUAUAUAGAAUUUGGACCCCCUGAAAUAACAAAGUGAUGCGCAGUGGAGUUGGCAAUAGCCUGUGCAAUCCUACUCUUUGUCUUGGUUCGAAUCCCCGCAGGGAUUUUUUCUUUUUCUGUAAUUAUUUUUACUUCUUAAAUUCAAUCAAGUAAAUAAACAUGCGUAAUUUAAACAUAAAAGUUCAGUAGCUUGGUGGUUAAUAGUAUCAUGAAGGUCUCCAAGACCCAAGUUCGAAUCCCUCCUCUACUAACUAUUUUUUUUCAAUUAAAAUUGAAUCAUUUCCCUAAAUUUUAGUACCUUUUCCUUGUAGAAUAAGAUUUCCUUAAAUUUAAUACUUUUUCUUGUGGAUUUUUUUCAAUUAAAAUUGAAUUAUUUACUUAAAUUUUAAUACAUUUUCCUUGUAGAAUAAGAUUUCCUUAAAUUUAAUACUUUUUCUUGUGGAUUUUUUUCAAUUAAAAUUGAAUUAUUUCCUUAAAUUUUAAUACAUUUUCCUUAUGGAAUAAGAUUUCCUUAAAUUUUAAUACUUUUCCCUUAUGGAAUAAGGUUUUCUUUCUCUAUAAAUAGGAGACUCAUUUACCCAAAUAUCACAAUAUUAUUAAGAAUAGAAUCUCAAUAAUUCUCUCUUUGUUUUUUCUUCUCGUUCUCUUAUUUUAUAACAAAAACAAAAAACUUAAUAUUUUAGUUUCAAGUUUCAAUAGACAUGAAGAAUUAUUAUAAUAGAGUACCAAAAAAAAGUUCGAUAUGGAAUUUAAGAAUAACAACAUUAAAUUGAAACAAUUUACAAGUGAGUUUAAAUUUACCAUGUAAUUGUGUAGACCUUGGAUGUUUUCUAUUUUAACAUUAUAUAUCUAGGGGGUGUUUGGUAAUGAUGAGUAUAUUUUCUUAGAAAAUGAAUGAGUUUCAUAUAUAUUUUCUUAUAUUUAAUACGCGUAAGUAAAAAAUAUUUGUGUAUAAUCUAGAAUACUAUGUCAGGUAGGCGUGUGGGAUAUAUACUGUUUCCCGAUGGGGAUGAGAGUGUAGAUAAAGUGUGUUAGAGAAUGGGGAGGACACAACUGAAGUGGAAUUUCAUUUGUGAAACUUAUUUUCCUACUUCCAGGCAGGGGCGGAGCCAACCUUCUGUUAGGGGUUCAUCUGAACCCCCUUUGACAAAAACAUUACUAUUUAUACAUGAUUAAAAUUAUUUUUUAUGUAUAUAUAAUAGAUGUCGAACCCCCUUCAGUUAGUUCGUGUGUUUAUUUCUUCAGCUAUUGAACCCCCUUAUUAAAAAUCCUAGGUCCGCCACUGCUUCCGGGAUAACUUUUACUAUACGAACAUGAAAAAAUUAUUGGCCAUACGAGUUUGAUAUAGCCCAUUUGAUACCUUCGUAUCCGAGUUCUCAAAAUCUCACUUCAAAGGUGUUGAGUUGGAAUCCCAUUCUAACUAACGAUUCUUGUGGUUCCAGAGGAUCCAACUACAGGAGAACCCAGGAACUCGAAGGGCUCCCCCCCCCCCCCACCUGUUCCGCCCAACUCUUUGGUCUUAAGAACGCUGGCUUAUUGAACAGGGUUCUAUGGUCGGUCCGUGACCCCCGGAUGCCAAAGUCAUCCUUGGGUGAUCUCUUAGUUCCUACGGGGUGGAGAUGCUGGGGUUGGUCCAAGGAUUUUCCUUCCUUUUCUUUUGCCGCAUUUCUCUCAAAGGGUUGAAGGGAGAUAGUGCAUCAAGUUGUUUGCAAGGGCCAACUUGAUCCUAUUCCCCAGGGAUCUCCGAUUAGGGAACCCUGGGAGAGAAAAAUGUUUCCACUGCGCACCCUAUUUCAUUUUUCAUUUCUUGUUCAAGAACUCUUAGAUGUUAGAAACAUUGAGGUUAAGUGAACUUCAUUCUCCCAACUGAAUGUUUAUUCCUUAUGUAUAUAUGAUAUGAAUGGAUUAACAAUUUGUCCUAUGAUAAUGUUUCUCAUAAGUACUUUUCUUUUCUGUUAUAUUAUAGCCUAUCACAGGAUGUGGAGUGGCUAAAGUUUUGAAGUCUGGUGAUUCAAAUUUUCAAGAAGGGGUAGUGGUGAUUUUGGUGGUGGAGAAGAUAGGUAUGUUCCAUUUGAGGUGGAGAAUGGUUCAUCGAGUCAUCGAGGAUCUAUCAAUGAUGAUAUUGAAUGUGGUGAUAGUGAUGAUGAUGAUGAUGAUGAUAAUCGCUCAGCUUUCUAGGAUUACCAUGACUCACCACAGCUAGUUUCAAAGAAUGGUGUUGGACAAUUUGCAAAGAUGUUAGGUUGUUGUGUUGUUGGUAGUGCUGGAAAUAAACAAAAGGUAAGUACUUAAGCAUUUCAUUCUUGAAUUUUAUUAGUGGCUUAUAAGUUAUCUUACUUAUCUUAAUUAAUCAUUGUUAAAUAAUCUAGCUAUCUCAUUUAUUCAUUAUUAAUUAAAGGUUGAUAUGUUGAAGACCAAGUUUGGUUUUGAUGAAGCUUUUAACUAUAAAGAGGAACAUGAUUUAGAUGCAACUUUGAAGAGGUAUGUAAUCUUAUAAAUUCCCACAAGAAAACACUAACUAAAAUGGAAAAAAAAUAGUUUCCAGGGUGAAGGUGGUUGGGGACUUUUUAAUUUUUUUUUUUUAACCCAUCACCUUAACGGUGUGUGUGUGUGUGGGGGGGGGGGGCUUGACCCCUACCAUGUCUAUAACAUCCAAAAAGUUACAAAAGCAGAGGGAGACAUGGACCUAACCUCUUGAUAGUGAACAACGAGGAUAACCUAAGAUGACAUAGACUUUCAUACUAUAAGCAAAAUACGUUGGUUCAACUAACAAAAAAAAUUACAUUUGUUGUAUCUUCUCCUUAUUCUAAAGUUUCCACUUAUCAAGUAGAAAUAGUCCCUUUCACCUUAGAAUUAGAAUUGUGUGUGGUGGAUUGACAUUUCAUUUUGGUUAAAAUGAAUGGGAUUAAUGAUAAAUGAAGAUUUGAACCACUUCUGUAACAUUAAGGGCAUAUAUGAAAAGAUAGCUAAUAUAACGCUAAAGGUAUAUAUGAACUUAUUGUAUAACGGAAAAGCAAUACUAGACCUUUAAUUUUCGAUAAUAUAGGGGUAAAUAUGACCUUUUUUCGUAUUGGUUUAUUCUAUUAGGUACUUCCCUGAUGGAAUUGACAUAUACUUUGAGAAUGUUGGAGGUAAAAUGCUUGAUGCAGUUCUUGUGAAUAUGAAACUUCAUGGUCGUAUUGCUGUGUGUGGAAUGAUUUCACAAUACAACCUUGACAAGACUGAAGGAGUGCACAACUUGUUUUGCCUCAUCGCGAAACGAAUCCGUAUGGAAGGAUUUCUUGUUUUUGAUUACUAUCAUCUUUAUCCUAAGUAUUUGGAAAUGAUCAUUCCACAAAUAAAGGCUGGUAAUAUUGUGUAUGUGGAAGACAUAGCUGAAGGUUUUGAAAAUGCUCCUAGUGCUCUAGUUGGUCUCUUCUCUGGUCUCAAUGUUGGAAAGCAAGUUGUGAUGAUUUCAUGUGAAUGAAUGGAUUUGGAUCCUUUCCAUUUUCUCUCAAGUUUUUACUUGAAAGGAAAGCUAUUGUGUCAUGGUUUAAAUACUUAAAUACACAAACAUUUCUAUCAUGUAUUUACUAAUUCUCUGUAUGGUUUGAAAUAAUAAGUCAUUAAUUGAUAGUUUCAUACUAGAUUUCAAGUCAGAUAUACCAAGGUACAUGUAUUUUUGCUACUAGAUACAUUCUGAAAUGCAGAUACAUAGGAAGAGAGCGAGUGAGAGAGGAGAAGGAGAGAUGAGAGAGGCGAGAGGCAAGCGAAAGAGUUAGUGUAUCCCAGAUAUAUGCAAAUUACACUAGAUACAUGUAUCUGAGACUAGAUACAUGUAUUUGAGAUAUCAUAUACAAUUCAUAAACAUUCUGAAACAAAGAUACAUAAGGAGAGAGGUGAGCGAGAGAGGCGAGCAAGAUAAGAGAUAUGAGUGAGAGAGUCAGUGUUUCCAGAUACAUAUGAAUUACCCUUGAAUACAGUAUAUCAGAAAUAAAUUGGACCUAAUUUUAAUUCAUAUAUCCAAGAUACAUAUAUUUGGAUGUGUCGCAUACAUGUGUUUGGGAACGGAAAUCUGACACAAACAUUAAUUUCAAAGAUGCACAUAAUUAGACUCUAAACUAAAGAAAUUCUUAUUGUUUUCCCUUGAACUUAUUUAGGCAAAUAAAAGGUCGAAAGAGAUUUAAGAUUGCGAGAUUAAUAAUAAUUUAUAAAAUUAAAUAUAUUAUGUAGUAUUAAUUAUCUAAAUCAUAAAAAAGAUUUAUUUUGAUUAACUAAAUCUUAGUAAUUAAAUUUUAUUUAUAUCAAUUUAGGAAAAAUAAAAUGAAGAGGAGCCGGAUCCAGAUAUAUCCUUGGACAACUCUUGAUUCACAUAAAUUGAAGUGAGAAAUGGUAGAGGAAGUGAUGAACAACAAACAGAUCAUUCUAAAACAUUAUGUGGAAGGUUAUCCUAAGGAAUCUGAUAUGGAAUUUAAGAAUAACAACAUUAAAUUGAAACAAUUUACAAGUGAGUUUAAAUUUCCCAUGUAAUUGUGUAGACCUUGGAUGUUUUUUUAUUUAACAUUAUAUAGGGGUGUUUGGUAAUGAUGAGUAUAUUUUCUUAGAAAAUGAAUGAGUUUCAUAUUUAUUUUCUUAUAUUUAAUACGAGUAAGUAAAAAAUAUUUGUGUAUAAUCUAGAUAAAUACUAUGUGAGGUAGGCGUGUGGGAUAUAUAUUGCUUUCCGGUGGGGAUGAGAGUUUAGAUAAAGUGUGUUAGAGAACGGGAGGAGGACACAAUUGAAGUGGAAUUUCAUUUGUGAAACUUAUUUUCCUACUUCCAAGAUAACUUUUACGAUAUGAACAUGAAAAAAUUACUGGGCAUACGAGUUUGAUACCUUCGUAUCCGAGUUCUCAAAAUCUCACUCAAAAGGUUCUGAGUUGGAAUCCCAUUCUAACUAAGGAUUCUUAUGGUUCUGGAGGAUCCAACUACAUGAGAACCAGGAAUGGAGGGCUUCACCCCCCUCCCCCCCUUCCGCCUGACUCUUUGGUCUUAAGAACGUUGGUUUUAAGAAUGAGUCAUUGCCCUUCUCCGACCCUGACUGCCCAACCUUAGAGCGGACAGCUAAUGCGUUCCACUUAUUGAACAGGGUUCUAUGGUCGGUUUGUGACCCCCGGAUGCCGAAGCCAUCCUUGGGGUGAUCUCAUAGUUCCUACGGGGUGGAAAUGAUGGGAUCGGUUCAUGGAUUUUCCUUCCUUUUCUUUUGUUGCAUUUCACUCAAAGGGUUGAAUGGAGAUAGUGCAUCAAGCUUUUCGCUAGGGCCAACUUGAUCCUAUUCCCCAGAGAUCUCAGAUGAGAGAUAUCUGGGAGAGAAAAAUGUUUCCUCCGCGCACCCUAUUUCAUUUUUCAUAUCUUGAUAAUGUUUCUCAUAAGUACUUUUCUUUUCUAUUAUAUUAUAGCCUAUCACAGGAUGUGGAGUGGCUAAAGUUUUGAAGUCUGGUGACUCAAAUUUCCAAGAAGGGGUAGUGGUGAUUUUGGUAGUGGAGAAGAUAGGUAUGCUUCAUUUGAGGUGGAGAAUGGUUCAUCGAGUCAUCGAGGAUCUAUCGAUGAUGAUAUUGAAUGUGGUGAUAGUGAUGAUGAUGAUGAUGAUAAUCGCUCAGCUUUCUCGGAUUACCAUGACUCACCACAGCUAGUUUCAAAGAAUGGUGUUGCUGAAAUUGAUGUGUUGAAGACAUUUUUCUUAUACUUGUAUGGUAUUGUGUCAGCUUGUUCUUGACAUUGUAAGUAUUGAAUUUCGUCGCGUUUUGUCCUUUUUUCAUUGAUGUGUAUUGAAUUAUUUGUAGUAAUGAUUAUAUAUUAGAGAUUCAUAUGCCAGUAGAAAAUGUCGAGAACUUUUUAUUUCGUAAAAUGUUGGCCUAAGAUGAAUUGAGAUGGGGAACAUGAUCAAUGAGGACUGAGACGUAGUAGUUAUUGUUGUUGUUUUUGUGUAUUGAAGCUUCAGAAAUUUUGUAGUCAUUCUUAUACGUUUACUUUAGGUCCUGUGCUUUCUAGGCGUCAUUUCGUCCUAUAAAUUAGAGAUUCCUAUGCAAGUAGGUAAUAUAGAGAACGUCUAGUACUGUUCAUGAUUAUGUUUAUUUCGUAAAGUGUUGUCCUGAGGUGAAUUUAAGUGGGGAACUUGAUCACAUAUAGACGAUCCCAGCUUGUUUUAGACUGAGUGUUGUUGUUUAUUGAAGCUUAAAGGAUGUUUUUGCUCUUCUUAUGUGUUGACAUGGGGAAUAGAUACAAUAAAAGUCUUCUUGGGGAUAAACUAGGGAAGUUAAUUCCCUGCGCCUUUACUGAUGAACACUGUGCACUUUGCGAUGCAAGCUGUUUUGUCCAAGGCCAUUACCGGGUUUUGGCAUCAAAGAUUUCAACCUACAGUGAUGAUGUCUUGGAGAGACUAUUCUUUGAAAGGUAACAUUAAGACUAAUAAUUCCCUUUUUUCUUUGGUUAUGAUUGAGUAGAAAGCUAAAAGUAUUUGGAAGGCAUAUGAUGAUAUAGAGUAGGAAAUAUGUGUACAAUGUGUUUAUGCACUUCUCCAGUGGAUUUGUUUACGAAACAUAGAAAGACGAGAGUAGGAUUAUUAACGAGCUUGAAUGUAUGUGGAUCUUAUGAGUUGACAGCUUCAAUUAGCCAUAGUUUGUGACUUAGUUAAGCCCACAUGUUACACUUAUUAGCUUAUUACUGAUAUAUCGACAAUGGUUUCAAAUGAACUUUUAUGUACACAAAUAGAGGCAGUUCCUGUUACGUACGAGAAUCUCAAUUUUUAUCCAAGUUAGUUCUUCAUGAGUUCAAGACAUAUAAUCUCUUAUGUCUUUCAUUUCUAACCUUUAUGUAGGAAUCUUUUUCCACGAUAUCUUAAUGUCGUCUAUAAAUACUGGCUUUCAAUAUUAUCCUGUUAAUUGUUAUGUUCACUUCUUAACAACUAAUACUAUAGACGGCCUUUGCCUUUCACAGUUGUACCGACAGCUCUUACAACAGCAAUGAAUGUGAACCUCAGCAAUGCAUCCCUUGUUUUCAUCUCAGUCACAUUUGCCACUAUGGUGUGUAACUCUUUCUCCUUAAUAUUUUUUCGAUCAUACAGUUUGUGUCAAUACUGAUAGACUGCAAUUUUUUCUUCAAAAAUUGAGCUCUGAGAAAGCAUGUUUGUUAAACUCACGACCUUAACAUUCGUCGAGGGCUCUAGUAUUUGCAUUUAUGUACCUUGAAAUUUAGCAGUCACAACCCUCUGCCACUAAAGUAAGUGUGAUUGUCAAAGCCUUCAAGGGCCACUCAAAUAAUCGUCUAUUAUCGAUAAGAAUAACAGAUUUCUUACUUUGUUUUCUCCUUCCUUAUUCUGAUACGAACUCUCUGCCCAUCUUUCUCCUAUUCUUCGCAUUUGCUUUCAGGUACUACUUUUAACCACUGAUCUCUUAUGUUUUAUUGUGCUUUUUUAUGGGGGGUAGCGGGCCAGAAGCAUCGAAUUUCUACUUGAUCCUUUGUUAUAGAUGUACAUCCAACAAUAUUAUUCAUAAAUGCAACUUUUUUUUCCAUAUGAGGACUUAAUAGAAUGUGAUUGUUAAUUCGUUAUGGACUAAAAACCUGAAAGCGUCUAUGAAAUAACUAUCUUUGAUGAAUACGAUACAUUUGACAGGGCUCAUAUCUAAGCUGAAUAAAUGGCCUCAAUUAUUUGUGUAAGGUUGGAGUCUCCAAGUGUAAAGCUGCUGGGGAUCAUCUUGGUCAUUUCUUGUAUUAUUUAUUCUCAUUUAUGAAGAAGUAUUCAUAAUUUUCAUCUUCAUCUGUCAUUCAUAAAUCAUAUCCGUAACCUUCACUUGUGCACCAGAUAAAACGUUUACUUUAUCGUACAAUAUUUUCUCGUUUCACAACUAUCAUUGACAAUUUGGAUAAACUUAGGUAAUCUUCUUAAUGAGUGUUUUCGUAAGCUUUAUCGCCUUGUUGAUAACUGUGUCGUUUGUUAAUUUACAUCCGUUUGGUAGAUAAGUCUGACUCUAUUUUAUGAUAAUGCAGUUGCAAAGGUGACAGAAUUUGAGUUUUGGGGGUUUGUCUUUGUUAUGCUUGCUGCAGUUAUGUCUGGAUUUCGCUGGACUAUGACUCAGAUUCUUCUGCAGGUUGUAUUUUGUGACACUCGUUGCAUUGUUAUCGUUGAUUUCUUGUUCCAUUGUUUUGUCAAUAGUAUGUUUGCUUACUUUGUGUAUUUUCUGUUUGUUUUCCCAUAUCCAACUGGUUGUGCUGAACAUAAAACUGGCAUAAAGAAAGAAGCCUAUGGUAAGGACUAUGAACAACUCUUGGCAAAUUUUAAAUAUUCUGGAAAUGUUAUUAUCACCAUCAUCAUUAUUAUUAGCAGUCGUAGCAGCAGCGACUGCACCACUACUUAGACUACAUCAAAUCUGAUCUUGUUUUAAAAGGGCAGUCCGAUGCACGAAGCAUCUCACAUUCACGCAGGGUCCAAGGUAGGGCCACACCUCAAGAGAGCAUGAUGUAGGCAGCCUACCCUGAUACAAAUCAGCGGCUAAUUCCAUAGCUCAAACCCUGCUUUGUCUUAGUCCUAGUUUUGACCAAAUUAAUAUGUUGAUUCGUUAUUUGUUUUAUAGUUUGUGAAUAAAUUGUGUAAUGAAAUGCAUGCUUUGGUUAUUGCAGGUCUAAAAAAUCCACUCACACUAAUGAGCUAUGUUACUCCAGUAAUGACUCUUUCAACUGCUGUGUUGUCCCUUAUUUUUGAUCCGUGGCACGAAUUCAGACACACCAAUUACUUUGAUACGUCAUGGCAUAUAGCUAGAAGUUGUUUGUUGAUGCUUUUUGGCGGAACUUUGGCUUUUUUUAUGGUAUGUAUGUGUCUAAGCACUGGUAUCAGUUCAAUUUGUGGAUUUUCCAUCUCAUAGUGAAAAUGAAGCCUUCUAAUAGGCUUAGUUCGUUUAGAAAUGAUUAUCAAUUAUUAAAGAACUUGGACGAACAUAACGAUAACUUCUUCAUGCUUACCUAGCAACGUUUGUUUACUGCAGGUGUUUGUUCCUAGCACUUCAGUCGUCCUAAAUCAAAACGACUGUAUGUUUACUUAAGCUAUAGUAGUUCAAUCAAAAUUGUUGAUAUCGAGCCAUUUUUAGUCGAAAACGUGACUUUGGCAUGGUUUAAUGGCAUGUGUUGAAGUCGUAAUUUUUCCAUUUUCCUUACUCAGGUAUGACAAAAUUACAUAAAGGUAGCACAAGUGAAGAUGAAACUGGAUCACCAUUAGGAUAUGCAGCUACCAAGUAUGUUAUACUUGAAGAAAUGGAAGAUCAAGACCAUGGUCCUUGAAGUAUUAUUACAUAUGACAUUCCAACUACGCUGCACUCUGAUGGCGUUUUGUAUUUGCAACGGAAGGAAAGGGACGAAAAAAUGCAUAGAUUUUCUAGCAAAUGAAGGUCAAUCGUAUACAUGAGGAAGAUUUCUUAAUCAAGGAAGAUGAGGAAGUUGAGAUUUUUCGCCUAGUAGACUUUAAGACAUGUUGCUUAUAGAAGAUAUUAGGACUUGAAAAAGAAACUUACAAAAAUGUUACUGGUUAAGAACUAACUACUUAAAUACACUACAUUACAAUAUUCGGAAUUUUACCAGAUUUUGGUGCAUCGAGAAAAUAUGUACUAGGAAUAAAAUAAAGAUUAUUUCGCUCGAUCUAGGUAUCGCCUAUAAGUUUCUCAAAAGAUUAUUUUACAUGACAUGUUUAAUAUUACAAAAUUAAAGUGUAUUUUGAAACAUUAUACAUAUUUUUAGUUUAAGAUCAUGAGAUUUUAAAAGUCGUCUUUACUUUCUUAUAUCAAUAUUAUGUAUAACCAAGACAUACAAAUUAAAAUUAAGGGAGUAACUUAAUUAGUACUAAUUUUUUUUUAAAAAACAAAUUUACCACUAGACAGUGUCUAGUGGUAUUUUAUUAAACAUAAAAAAUAUCAACAGGAACAAGUACAAGCAAGGGGGCUAGGCCUUACCUUACUAAUCCUAAUAAAGUACCUAACAAGCAUGAAGAAAAUAAGAGCUAGAGAGAACUAAAUAUUUUUUUAUUAUCACAAAGUUUGUAAUACACUCAAUGAUGAUAUUACAAAUGAGGAUGCUUAAAUAAUGUAAAAGUAUGUCAAUCAAGAAGCAAGUUGAGUUACCAGCCUAAAACUUUCUAUUACUAAAGCAUGAAUUAAAAAAGAUUGAUUAUCCAUCAAAAGUAACUUGAAGUAUUUUUCUCUUGUCUUCUUCUUCAAACCUAUCCAACAACACUUGAUGAUUCAUACCUUCUUUAUGGAUUUAUUGGAUCUAGUUGAACCUAUUGAUACUGUCAAAUGGUUUUGCUUUGCCUGUCACAUUGGUAGGUGCCUUGGAACAAACUCCUCAGUCAUUUUACCGUCCCAACUAUGUUGCCUUCCAUAUGUCUUCUUUUUGCUUUUGUUGCUUCCACUUCUUUGUUGCCUAGGUGAUAUAUCCCCUUCCUUAGCCACUCUAUCAAAGCAAAUGUCCAACAUAUUGUCUUCCUCAUCUUCAUCAAGAGAAUCCUCACCCAAAUUCACUCCAUCUUCAUCAAGAGAAUCCUCACCCAAAUCAAUUGUAUUUGACACUAAGACACUCGACUCAUUGUUCCUUGCAAGCACACAUUUAGGCACAAAUACAAGAGCUUCUGGACUUAAUUUGCUAUUUAAAGCAGGUGGUGAGACUUGUUUUUCUUGGAUCAAAUCGUGGUCAUUCUCUGUUAACCUUAUUUGAUUUGCUUGACACUAUUCUUUUAGUACUGGAUACAUGACAAUUCCAACACAAAUGACAAACCCAAUAACACAGAUGAAAGGACAACUAAAUUUCUUUUUAAAAACUAUUUUAAAUUACUCUAUUAAUUAUUCUAAUAUAUAAUUUUUUUUUAUCUCAAUAUAUGUGAUACUGAUAAAUUUUCGAGAAUACUCACAACUAUUGAAUUCCACAUGCAGUUUGUGUGGCUGUGUGCGGAAAGCUCUAUAUGUCUCCAUCUUUUUUAUUUCUUUUUCUUUAUACUUGAAAAUGUCGUUUGUUAGGUGGGAUAAGACGUGAUACUUUUGAGUUACUCUAGAGAUAAAAUUUAUUUCAUUAGUUGAGAUAUUUAAUGAGAAAAUUAGUUAUCUCACUAAUAUAUAUAAAAUAACUUAUUUUAUUAUAGUAAAAUAAAUAAUUUCAAAACCGACUUAUGCUUCUAAUUAAAUGAAAAAUAAAAUUAUUUAUAUUUUAUUUUGAAAUUAUUAUCUCGUUUUCUUGGUACCAAUUUGAUAUGAACCGUUAAGCUUUUCCUCUUCAAUUAUUUGGGAGCACGCUUAGUUCUUAUUUUUUGUAUUAUAUAGUUUUAAUAAAUAGUGAUUUUAGUGAUAAUUUCAGUUUUAUUUUAUGUGUUAUUUGACUAUACACAUUUAAUCUUAAAUUAUUAAAGUUGGGGUUUUGAUGCCUGAAGUUAACAAAAGUUAACUACAUUUAUUUAAUAAAAUGAUUAUUUGAAAAUAUUAAAAAUAGAAUAAAUGGUUGAUGAUUCUAAAUACUUGAGUGAAUAGAUUUACUCCAGUCCCUUAGCAAAAUUAAAAAAGCAAGUCAUAUCAUCUUCCAUUCUAAGUAUUCGAUUAAAUUCCUAGCUAAAACGAUAGUCUAGUUUUAGAAUUUAAUUACUCAAUCACUUUUUUGUUUGAAGACAAGGUUAGAAAAUUCGCAAAAUCACACUCUUUAACAUCUUGACACAAGCCUACUCUUCGUGGGAUCAACCCAAAUUUUUAUAAAAUAAGCAAAAAAAUUCAUAACAAAAAUAUAAUAUAUUAUCAUAAAAUUAUUUUUAAAAUCUACAAUUUUUAUUGAUUGAACUUUAGUUUAAUAAAAAAAAUUAUAAUUAAAUAUUACUCCCUCCAUCCUAUUUUAUGCGGCACUUUUUGGAUUUCGAUAUUCAAACAAAUCUAUCUUUGACAGUAAAUUUUUCAUAGAUCUUUUAAACAUUUUGAAUUAUCAAUUAUUGUGAAUUUUUGUACUUUCUACAUAGUUUACAAAUAUAUAAAUUACAUUUUAAAAAAUUGCAGAUUUCGUACGCAAAUUUUCGGUCACACUUAAACUGUUUGACUCUCGAAAAAUGAAAAUUGUCACAUAAAUUGGGACAGGAAAAUAAUAAUAUUAAUAUCUAGCAAUAUUUAAUAAUUUACCGGUUGGUACACCUAACAACCUCGCACAUGAAUAGCAACAAUAUUUUAAUAAAAGAUCCGUACACAUUUAUGUAAUCUGACUGAUUUGAAUUAUGCGAAAUAAAAUUUAUCUUAUAAAUUGAGAUAUUUUAUGAGAUAAUUAAUUAUUUUACUACAUAUAAAAAAAUAAUUUAUCUCACCAUUAUAAAUUAUAUAAUUUAAGAACUAACUAAUACUCCUUAUUAUAUUAAAUAAAAAACAAUUUUAAAUUUUAGAUCAAAAUAAUUACCUCUCUUUUUCCUCUUCAAUUAUUAGGGUCACGUUUAAACGACUUGCACAACAUUUCUAGCUGUAAUUGGUAGGUAAAGUCCUUCAGUGAACAGCUAAAAAAAACAAAAAAAAAAAGAAUAAAGCAUAGAACAUGUGGGAAAAAAGAUAUUAUUCCCUCCAUAUUAUUGUGUAGGUGACAUCUUUUCACUUUGACACUAAAUUUAAAAAAGAAAAGAUUUUGCAAUUUAUAAUUUAAAAUAAUUUAUAGUUAUCUAAAUAUCUAUGACUCGAUUAUUUUAUUACAUAAGUUUUAAAAAAUGUUCUUUCUUACUUUCUUAAAUUUAAUGUUGAUUUAAACUAAUCUGGUCAAUUUAUGUAGCACUUUUCAUUUUUUUGAUAGUCAAAUGGUCUAAUAAAAAAUUUGUGCAUGUGAUCUUCAAAUUUUUUGAAAUUAAAAUUACAUAUUUAUAAACUACGUAAUAGUACUAGAAAUUACAAAGAUAUAUAAAAAAAUUUAUAAUCAAAGAUAAAAUUGUUUGAAUAACAUUUAAUUAUGUGAAUACUCCCUCCGUCCUAUUUUAUGCGGCAUUUUUUGGAUUUCGAUAUUCAAACAAGUCUAUCUUUGACAGUAAAUUUUUCAUAGAUCUUUUAAACAUUUUGAAUUAUCAAUUAUUGUAACUUAUAGUACUUUCUACAUAGUUUACAAAUAUAUAAAUUACAUUUAAAAAAAUUAUAGAUUUCGUACGCAAAUUUUUGGACACACUUAAACUGUUUGACUCUCGAAAAAUAAAAAUUGUCACAUAAAUUGGGACAGGAAAAUAAUAAUAUUAAUAUCUAGCAAUAUUUAAUAAUUUACCGGUUGGUACACCCAAUAACCUCGCACAUGAAUAGCAACAAUAUUUUAAUAAAAGAUCCGUACACAUUCAUGUAAUCUGACUGAUUUGAAUUAUGCGAAAUAAAAUUUAUCUUAUAAAUUGAGAUAUUUUAUGAGAUAAUUAAUUAUUUUACUACAUAUAAAAAUAUAAUUUAUCUCACCAUUAUAAAUUAUAUAAUUUAAGAACUAACUAAUACUCCUUAUUAUAUUAAAUAAAAAUCAAUUUUAAAAUUUUAGAUCAAAAUAAUUAUCUCUUUUUCCUCUUCAAUUAUUAGGGUCACGUUUAAACGACUUGCACAACAUUUCUAGCUGUAAUUGGUAGGUAAAGUCCUUGAGUGAACGGCUAAGAAAAAAGAAUAAAGCAAAUUAUUGCAGGUGACAUCUUUUACACUAUAUUUUAAAGCAAAUUAUUGCAGGUGACAUCUUUACACUUGACUAUUUUAAAACAAAAAAAAAAUUAAAAUUUAUAAUUUAAAAUAAUUUAUAGUUAUCUAAAUAUCUAUGACUCGAUUAUUUUAUUUCAUAAGUUUUUUAAAAAAAUCUUUCUUACUUUCUUAAAUUUAAUGUUGAUUUAAAUUAACUUGGUCAAUUUAUGUAGCAUUUUUCAUUUUUCGAUAGUCAAAUGGUCUAAUCGAAAAUUUGCGCAUGUGAUCUUCAAAUUUUUUGAAAUAAAAAUUAUAUAUUUAUAAACUACGUAAAAGUACUAGAAAUUACAAAGAUAUAUAAAAAAAAUUAUGAUCAAAGAUAAAAUUGUUUGAAUCUUAUGAAAGCAAUUAUAUUAUUAUCGGUGGUCGUAUUUGUACUACUAAGUCCGUGAUCACCUCCUUUCGCAUGUUAACUGCUUUUCAUUACUUGUACAUUUCAUAAUUUUUUAAAUACAUUAUACAUAUUUUUAAUUUACAAUUAUGAGGUUUUAAAAGUCGUAUUUACUUUCUUAAAUUAAUAUUCUGUCAAACUAAGACACAUAAAUUGAAAUUGAGGGAGUAACUUAGAGGGUGUUUGGAUUGAUUUAAAAAUUGAUAAAACGUAGUUUUAAGUCAGUUUUUUUACUUUUGAAAGUGUGACAAAUACAUAAGCUUGUUAAAAUACAAACCCAAUAAUUACAAGUUAUCUUUCUUUGAUCAAGUUAUAUAUACAUUACUUGUUCAUUUCAUUCUUUUUAGGACAAGUUAAGUUUGAGUACAUUUAACCAUGAACUAUUCAAUGCAAGUUAAUAUUUUGUCCAAAAACCUCAUUAAACCAUCAUUACCAACGCCACAACACCUUAAAAAUUACAAGUUAUCUUUCUUUGAUCAAGUGGUGGAUGUAAUACACUUACCUCUUGUUCUUUUCUAUCCUCAUUGUAGAAAUAACUCGAAAAAUGAAGAGCUCGAAGAGUCCUUUUCGAGGAUUUUAACACAUCUUUACCCUUUAGCUGGUCGAUUUUCUGAAGAUGAAUCGUCAAUUCUUUGUCUCGAUCAAGGUGUAAGUUAUAUAAAAGCAACGGUCAAUUGUAAGCUUGAUGAUUUCCUUCAACAAGCAAACAAAGACCCUGAUCUAGCAUUGUCAUUUUGGCCUCAAGGAACUAUGGAUGUGGACGAGACGAAUUUAUUCGUCACGCCAGUUAUGGUUGUGCAAGUCACAACAUUUGAAUGUGGUGGUCUAGCCCUAGCUAUUAGCCAUGCACACCCUGCUAUGGACGGAUCCACCACAUUCAAAAUCAUUUACGAAUGGGCUAAAGUGUGCAAAUUUGGUACUCCUUCUAAGGAGAUCAACUUCAUGAACUUCAAUUUAGGCACUCUUUUCCCUUACAAGAAAGAUCUAACAACCAUUCUUGAGCCUCCGGUUGACGAAGGCAAACGUCCAAACUCUAAGUUAAUUGCCAGAAAGUUUGUUUUUGAGGAAGAUGCAAUAUCGAGGCUCAGAGAAAAAUUUGACUCAACAACUGGCGAAGGUUUGAGUUUCAAACCUUCGAGAGUUGAGAUGAUUACAACACUUUUAUGGAGGUCACUUAUCCGUUCCACAGGAAGUACUUCACAUUUGAAACGGUCUGUAAUGUCAUUUCCACUUAACUUGCGUGGUAAAGUAGCAACUUUUCCUGAAAUUGCCAACUCUUUUGGGAAUCUUAUCAUCGAUAUUCCAAUAAAAUUUGAACACGACGAUGAAACAAAAAUGGAGUCGUUGCAUCACAUUGUAAAACUCAUAAAAGAGUCAGUUCAAGUGAUUAUCAGUAAAUGUGUCAAAGCUACUCCGGAUGAAAUAGUUUCUUUGGUUAUCGACUUAUACAAGGAUAGUUACGCCGGAUUAGAAUGGGGAGGAGACAAUGAAGUUGUGAAUUUUACAUGCGCAAGUUUAUGUAGGUUCCCCAUACAAAAAACUGAUUUUGGUUGGGGAAACCCAAGUUUAAUGCACUUUGGGUCAAGACAUAGCCAAGUUUUUUGGUUGUAUGAUACUGAAUGUGAGACUGGAAUUGUUGUGCAAAUGGAAUUGGAGGAAAAAUACAUGGAUAAACUUGCAUGUGACCAAGAUAUCAUGGAUUUUGUUAAAUUUUAGGGUUUAAUUUUCAUGUUCUUUCUUCAUUUAAUUUGUACUCCCUUUGUUUUAAUUUAAGUACGUGUGUUGCUAUUGCUUUUCUUUGGUUUAAUUUGUUUUGAAUAUAAAUAUCACUUUCUAUGAACACGCUUUGACUAUAAUUAAGUAGCAUUUCACUACAACAAAUGUGAUAUUUAGUUACGAAAUUAUUAGGUAAGAUACUAAAUUCGUCACUAAUUAUUCACCUUUUGUGACAACAAUUAUAUUUCGUGUUUAAAUGUAUGAGCAAAAUACUUUUAGUGACGAAACAUACAAUUUCGUAGCAAAGUUUUGUCCAUUUAAGUUUCCCACCAAAAAAAAGAUUGGCGCCAUUUAUUAAGAACUAUUAGUGACGCAUUUUAAGUUAUCAACGACAACUUAUUUUGUCACUAAUAAUGCAUCCAAUUUGUGACAAAUUAUUAUUUGUCUUAGAUGAGUUAUAAUUUUGGACACGAAGAUUUUUUUUUUACUAAAGAUAAGUUAUUGCAAUAGCGACAAAUUAGAAUUUGUAGUCAAAUGUUGUAAGCUUUAGCCACAAAAUUUAUAUUUAAUUGCUAUCUAAAUUUUUGUCACUAAUAAUAUAAUCAAUUAGUGACAAACAUUUUCUUUUCUCUAAUCAACUUAUGAUUUAGUGACAACAUACUUUUGUCACAUAAUAUGCAAUAUUUAAAAAGCAAAAAUUUAAAAUUUGCAGCUGAAUAAUUUUAUUAUUUUCUAUUUUUUUUUAGCUAAAUAUAAAAUAAUAUUUGAUUAGGCUUAUUAUUUACAAUUGCAAAUAGCAACUGACGAAUAUUUCUUUAAAGCGUUCUGUAUAGGUAACAACAAAAGAAAACUAUAGAAUGAUAUAAUGAUAUGAUGAUAACGUCAAAUUAUACCUUAAGAAAAUUCAAGUGCCGAUGCUAACAUAAAAUCUAAUGUGAGUGGGGAUUGUGAUAUGACAGAGAGCAAUUAUACAAAAGAUAACAUCGAUGGUAAGUUUAUUUUGCAAAUUUUUUAAAUAUUUUAUGGAUAUUUAAUUAACUAUUUUCUAUAAUGACUAAAAAUAAGUUUAAUUGUGGAGGUCUCAAGAACCCCAACUAUUUGAUUUUAAUAAAAUUAGGGAUAAGGGUCUGAAAAAUACCCCAACUUUGGUCGAAUUUGCUGUUGCGAUACUAAACUUUCAUGUGGACCUAUUACCUCCCUUAUGAUGUUUGAAUUUAGAUGCAUAUCUAAAUAUUAUGAUGGGAAUUUAGAUUAAGAUGUAUAAAUCUAAAUAUGCAUCUCAAAAUUGAGAUGUUUUAAAAUUUGAAUACUAAAUAAUUAUGAUUAUUAUAAAUAUAUUAGUAUGUAAAAUUUAUCUUUAUUUAUAAUACUAAUAAAAAAAUUAUUAAAAUGUGAACUUAAUCUAAUAAUAUAUCAAUAAUAGUUUUUUUAAAAAAAAUAAAUUAAUGGCAGUUAGUAGUGACGAUGCCUAGUUGUGGUGGUUGUGGCCUUGUGGGUGUGGAUACCCUGUUUUACCAAAGAUAUUUUUAAUUAAUUAAUUAAUUCAUUUUUCUUUUAACUUAAUCAAGUUUCGUGAAUUUCAAACAAAGUGAAAUAACUAUUUAAAUGUGUCAAAACUAUUUUUAUAAUUAUUGUUGGUGCUAUUUUGUUAUUUCAUUUACCAAAAUAUCCUAAUAUACUAUUAUAUAUUUUACAUAUAAUUUUAAGUAUUAAUUAUUUCAUUUUAUUAAUUUAAAAACUACUUUAUUUAUUAAAAAACCAAAAGUGAGUAUGUUUUUUAUUUUGUCAAAUUAAAGCCAACUGUGGUUUAAUUAUAUGAUCAGGACUCCACUAUUACUAAUAAUUACUUUAUUUUGCUAAAUCAAAGGAUUUCAUUAUUAAAUUAAUUAAUGAUUAUCUCAAUUUUACUACAUAUUGCCUUUUUCAUAAAUAUCUUCAAUUAUAAAUAAUUGAUUAAAUUUGAUUAUUUAAUCAAUAAUUGGUCACAAUUGCAACGUGAAUCGGUUAUGUUUGAAAGAAUUAUGGCUAUAACUUAAAAGAUGAUUGAUUAAUUUUUAAAUUUAAUUUGGGUCAUUUUCACUCUUAAAGAACAACUUUCAAUCUUAGCUCUUUCCCACGUCAACUUUAGUAAUGACCCUAAGAUGGACUGGUUUUGAUAAUUUGUCCCUUCUAAAUUUUUUAGUCUAAAAUGACCUCCGUAAUGGGUGAUCUUGAUUUUUCAACCCCGUUAAAUAUUAUUUUUUUCUUUUAUAAAAAAUCCUUUACUUUAGAAAAUUCUAACUUUUGCCCAUAAGACAAUUUUCAAGAUAUUUUAAGACAAUAAACCUUCUCAAUUGACAUGAAGUUCUGCCUAUCAACAAAAAUUAGAACUUAGGUAUGAUCAGACACGAUUUCUAACUUUUUUCCCCUUAAGACAUUCAAUCAAGACAUCUUAAAAUAUAAUUUGUUCAAUUCAAACUUCGAUUAAGGUAAAUUUAAUCUUUUAUUUUAAAAAAAAUACUAUUAUACAACAUAUAAAAUUAAUUCAAUAUGAUUCGAUAAUUUUAAAUUUUAUUUUGAUAUUUUGCAGUAUCCAUGAAACAUUGGCAACCAUAGUUGAUUCAACUUCGAUUUAUUUAUAGUCAUAUAAUAUAGAAUUAUGAUUUAUAUUUUUUUUAAAAUAAACAUAUAAACAAAUUAUAUCAUAUUUACACCUUACAAUCUUACGUAGAAAUAUAUGUUAAGGAAAUUACAAGCUACCUUUUUUGUGAAUCAAUAAUUUUGGUAUCUGUUUCAAUAUCAAAUAUUUUGUAGUCAAAAUUUAAACAUCUUCACAUUUAAUUUUGUACUAACAUUAGGUUGUAUGAUAUAUACUAUAACUUUUUAUGUAGCUAUACAUUUUGGCAUAUUUAUAAAUAUCUAAUACUAAAAGAAUUUAAUAUAUAUAUAUAUAUAUAUCAUAAUACUGCAAGCACAGUAUUAAAAUUUUUGACUUGAUAUCUAAUGUAUCACGUGCACCAUAAUGUUGUGCGUUAACUCAUUUAAUUGGGCUACAAAUGAUAGAUUAUAUCAGUUUGCCAAACACAUAAUUUCAUUUUAUUCUAGAGGUCUAGUUUGAUGCUACAUAUCAACUGAUGUGGUAUACCAAAUCAAAUAAAUGAGAAAAUAAGAUCAUGUCACAUAUCAAAAUGACAUAACAUUACAUUUGAUGAGAAUAAAAAUAUACAACCGCAUUUGACUUGUUUCGACAAUUAAAUAUCACCAUGUCAUUUGAACCUGACAAAUCAAAAACAAUUUAUUCUCAUCAAAAUUUUUCAUCUUAUAAUUAUAAAUAAAUAGGAGUUCCUAAUUAAGAAAAGUCAUUAAAAUUUCAAAAAAAACAACCGUGGGUCAAGAAUUACAAAUUUUCUAUAAGUUGCAAGCAUUCAAACAUUUGUGUACACAUUAUAAUUACUUGAAAAUAAAGGACAUAGAUAAAUUAAAUAUCAAAACCUUCCAGAUCAAAUUCACUUGUUUGUGGAAAAACUUGUUUAAGGCGGUCAUCAAAGUACUUAUGACAAAUCAAAUUCAAGUCAAAAUAUAUCAAAUCCAACAUAAAUUCAAGAUCAAAUUAAAAACGUUUGAAAUUAUUUUGAAAAUGAAGAACUAGAAGAUUUAUACAAAUUGUAACACUCAUAAUAUUUUUCUAUCUUGAUUAUUAAUUUUUAUACACAAAUUUUAUUGUUUGUAGCCAUAAAUUAUGGGUAAUAUAAUAAAUUUAAAAUGUGAAAAUAAAAGGAAAUCAACACAUUUCCCUGCAUCCACCAGGUAUCUUUAUAUUAUAAUAAAUACUUAAUUUUCUACCAAACUUUCUUUUUAUAUUUAUAUUUCCCUUUGUUUUAAUUUAUUUUCCAAUGAUUCAAAAAAAAAAAAAAAAUUCCAAACUCUUUUGUUUUUAGUUUAUUUUUAAAAUAAAUUCUCUUUCCUUAUUGUGGUAAGUCUUUAAUUAUAAUUUUUACAUGAUAUAUUUAAAAUUAGAAGAUUAAAAACUAUUUUGACACACUUCACUUAUUUUUAGUUUAAGAAUACACAAUUUAAAAACUCUUAUUUACUUUCUUAAAUUUUAUGUUAAGUCAAAAUCAAAUAAAUUUCUUAAAUUUUAUGUCAAAUAAAAAUCAGAUAAAAGUAUUUAACAAAAUCACAUGAAGAAAGUAAAAGAGGGUAUUCAUUUCCAAAUUUGUAGGAAAAAAACACACGUAAUUCUCUCAUUUCCUGUUCCUUCUCCACAAAUCUCUCUUUUAGUUAUUAGCCACAUCCACUCCUUAUCUCCCCACGUAAUACUUCUCUCCCAUUAUCUUCAUUUUUAUUUUUUAUUUUUAUUGAAUUUUGAGUUUUUUAUCUGCAUAAUCCUUAAAUAUAAUAUGAAUAUGCAACUCUCUUACUUUCUGCUAUACCUCAUUUGAAUUUUUAGUGGGUUUCUUAAGUUUAUUUUAAUUUGUGAACUUUGUCUCCCUUCACUCUAGUGUUCUUUUUUUUAAAAAAAAAAUAGUAUGAUAAUUUAACUACGAGUUACUUGUGUUUAGCCUAUGAGUUUGUUCUGUGUUAGAGACUUUUAGGGACUUGUUAAAAAAUAUGAUCUAAUUUUUUCGACUGCUCUAUAUACUAAGUAAGUUUCUUCAUCUCGAUUGUUGAUUUUUUUUUGUUUGCAGACAAAACUCAAGGUCUAUAUCUUUAGAAAAGAGGGAAUGACAAUUUUACCAUGUAAUUUGAGUUAGUAUCUUUUCUAUUUAUUUCUCAUUCUAAUAUCAAUUUUACAAUUAAAUUUUGAAAAUAUGUCAUGUUUAUAUCAUAAUUGCAGCGAGUACAUAUUAAAAUUGUAUUCUUUUCCUUUUCACACAGGUAUGUACAUGAAUGGAAAAAUUGAAUGAAGAGUAAAGUUAUCAGAUAAGUUGUUUACAUUAGCAUAUAAGAAGUAACAUUUUUAUUUUCUUAUUGACGACACAUUAUGUACAUUCGUUAGGAUCAUAUAAUAAUCUUUAAUGAGAUUAUUUCAAUAUUAUUUUAGUUCUAAAAUAUUAUAGGAUCAUGAGUGACACUUUUUGUUAUUAUGUUAAAUUUUUUAUUUUGUUAUGUUGAGUUUAUAUUAUAAUAUGAUAUCUGCUAAGUUUAAAAAUUAAAUUUAAUAUUUGUCAUGAUGUUAAUUUAAUAAAUUUUUACGACUUAGACUUUUCCUUGUAAAAUUUUUAUAUUGAUGAAUUAAUUAAUCUUGUAAAAUAUGAGAAAAUUUGGCACCAUGUAUAAAUUAUAAAAUUAACGAGAAACUAGUGAAUUAUUACCAUUUACAAGUUUGAACGUCAUCAAAUGUUUGUUGUUUUAACUGUAUGAUAAUGGAUGAAUUUUAUUAUUAUUUAAGAUAUUUUAAUUAUUUAUUUUUCAAUUUAUGUAAUUCUAAUUUAAAAAAUAAUAUCAAUACGAAUAAUUAAAUGUCAUCGAAUAUUUGUGCUCAUCAAAAGAUUAUAUCAUCAAAAGUAACUUUUAGCAAGGACUAAAUCAUACUUUUCAAGACAAAUAUUUUUUUCACAAAUAAAUUAUUUCGUCAUAAGUCGACUACAUUUAGUGACAAACUAUAUUGUCACUAAUCAUGAUUAUUUACAGUGACAAGUAUAUCUUGUCGGUAAAAACAAUACUUUUAGUGACAAGAUGAUAGAUUUAACUACGAAAUUGUUAACCUUUUUAUGAUGAUAAAUUUGUCCCUAAUUUAUAUAUUUUAGGACGAAAUAAUUUUUUUAUAUAAAAACAAGUCAUUAGUGACAAAAUUACAUUUUUUCAACUACUAAAUACAUAUAACUUUAGAGACAAUUGAUGUUGUCACUGAUUGAACUAAAUAUAUAGUGAUGGUGUAAUUUUGUCGGUGAAAAUAACUUUUUAGUGACAAAAUCAUACUAUUAACAAAAAAUUUACACUUUUUAUGACAUAUAGAUUUGUCACAAAUAUCGACACAUUUGGGGACGAUUUUUCUUUUUGUAGUUAAUAUAACUUUGUUAGUGACGAUGCACUAAAUCGUCUUUGUAUACUUUUAGUGACGACUGAUUGACGAAAUUUUUUUCGUCACAAGAUCUUUGGUGACGAACUAUGAUUUAUAAGUGACGAAAUCAUUUGUCCUUGAUAGUCAAAUUUGUUGUAGUGUUUUAAGUUGUAGAAAAGAUUAUACUAAAAUAAAUGGGAGAAGGCACAGGUACCCCUAGACUAUGAUAGAAAUUCCAGAGACAUACCUUAACUAAACUAAAGUCCUAUUACCCCCUGAACUCAUUUUAUAUAUAAUAUUGUACACCUUUUGGCUUAUAUAGACUAGAGCUGUCAAUAUGGGCUAGCCCACCCCAUCCGGGCUGACCCAUACAGGCUUUGACAUUUUACGGGUCAGGCCGGGCUAGCCCAUUUUUGGUGUGGGUUAGAAAACGAUCGGCCCAGCCCACAAGUACAUGGGCUACAGGCUUGCCGGGCUAGCCCACUUUUUUUAAAAUUAUAUAUUUUUUAUAAUUAUUAAAAUAAAUUAUAAAUUAUAAUUUAAAAAUAUUAUCAUAAAUAUCGACAAAACAAUAUUACAUGGUGUUAAUGUUACUACUUGUUAAUCAAAUCCACAAAUAAAAUUAUCUUUAUAAUAAUUAUUAAGGUUUUUUCAAAUAAAAGUAUAAAUAUCUAAAUAGAAAUAUUAACAUAAUUGUUUUGUCACAUUAAAACACAAAAAAUGUGACAAUAUUCCAACCAUAAAAAAGUUAAAAAUAAACUCCUUAAAAAAAUCAUGAAACUUAUGGCAUAUCUAACANNNNNNNNNNNNNNNNNNNNNNNNNNNNNNNNNNNNNNNNNNNNNNNNNNNNNNNNNNNNNNNNNNNNNNNNNNNNNNNNNNNNNNNNNNNNNNNNNNNNNNNNNNNNNNNNNNNNNNUUUAAUUUUAAAUUUUAAUAUUAUAUUAUAUUUUUAAAAUUAUUUUUAUUUGGCCCACGGGCCGGCCCUACCUAUAUUUCUCAAGCCCCACAAAUCAGCAGGCUUAUUCAGGCUGGGCUAAAAAGCCCUUUUCUUAAAUGGGCUCCAAAAAUCUUAGUCCAGCCCUAUUAAAUCCCGGGUUAGGCCAGGCCGGCCCAACGGGCCUAGCCCAUAUUGACGGCUCUAAUAUAGACACGUGAUUUUUGACCGAGCAUAAGACUUUACACUUGUUUUUAUUCCUUAAAUAUUUAUUUUAGGUUAAGUUAGAUAUUUUGAUUUUUGUCUUAUUUUAGUAAGUUUAUUUUAAAAGAUUUGAAAAUAACAAAAAAGAAAAGAUAUUUUCAAUAUAUUAAACUUGUUGGACAUUUAAAAAAGAAACUCGUUGGACAUUUAAAAAAUAUUUUCUUUGAUUAUAAUCUUUUUUUUAAAAAUAUUUUACAUUAUUAAUAAUUCUGAUUAAACCAAAGUAGCGUGUGAUUUUGAUUUGCUUUAAUAUCAUGCUGGAAUGAGUCAAAGAUUGUUAGAAUAAAUAAAUAAAUAAAUAAAUAUAUAUAUCAGUUUUUAUUUUGGGCCUAAGAAUUAUAUGAAGGGAUGGAGUUUUAAAUUUCAGUUAUGUGCUUUUGCGGGCUAUUUUUGCUGUUAGUUUUAUUAUUAUUUUGUACCAAUAAUAAAAUAUAAUUUUUAAUAUUGCUUUAAUUAGUUGAUAUUUUAUUAUAAUUUAUUAUUUAUAUGUAUAGUUAAUUAUUAUUUUUUUAAAAGUAAAAUAAAACUAAAACUAAAAAUAAGAAAAUAACUCACCCCCACAAAUCCCAUAUACUCACCGUUAUCAUACCACAUUCUCGAGUCAUGAUGGCACCUACUAUACCCUACCAGUAGGUAAGCCAACCCGUAACCCAGAACAUCAAGCAAUGAGUGAAAGGGCAAAAACUAGCGAAAAUAAUAAUCUAAACCAGAAUAACAAGGCGGAAGCAACCCAAAAUAAAUAUAUACAGAAAUACCCUCCCAGAACCUGGAAGUCACUAGUACAGAGCUAUACUAAUAAAGAGUACAAGUCCCAAAGUGGACCACAACAGAGCGUGUCUCAAAGGCAACAAGACUAGCUAAAAACAAAAGAAGGAGACAGAACAAACCCCAAAAACGUCAAAGUAGCUCAACCCUCGUCUCCGAAUCACAGCUGCAAAAGAAGGCUGGAACUAAUCACCGCUAGUAACUGGUACUGGGACCUGCAUCACAAAAUAGAUGCAGAGCGUAGCAUGAGUACCAACACAACAUGUACUCAGUAGGUAUCAUAGGUCGACUGAGCAAAAAGGGUAAAAACAAUAAGAAAUGACAGAAUCAAGACACAGAGAGGUCAAAGCGAAUAAGAAAAGAAAGCACACGAGCAUACCAGAAAAAAACUAAGUACAACUAAACUAAACCUAACUGGACCCCCAAAAGCCCAGAAGGUACACUCGUGCGCAAGUUCAAAUAAAACCUGAACGGACCCCCAUAAGCCCGACAGGUACACAGCAAGGCUAAGUCUACUGAGAAAGAAGAAAACCGGGCUCCCAGCCCAAAGUAACUAAGAUAAUCCAUCAGACCCCACCCAGCCAGCAGUACACUCCCAGCCCAGCUAGAAAGAGUGACCCUAGGGGGCACCCAACCAAACAGUCCACUCCCAGCCCAGCUAGAAAGAGGGACCCGUGAGUGAGGUAGAUAUCGCGAGUCGUCCUACCAUGCAGUCAGCUCCCAGCCCAGCUAGAAAGAGCGACCCGGGGACACCCAGCCAGCAGCACACUCCCAGCCCAGCUAGAAAGAGAGGCCCAGGGGCGAUCGCUAAUAUCACCGAGUCUACCCAGCCAGCGAUACGUUCCCAGCCCAGCUAGAAAGAACGACCCCGGGGGUGAUGGUAUCUUCAAUAGGAUUCAAUCCAACAACAACCACCGUGGAACGCUGUCCACUCUAAGAUAUCACAUAAAAGGCUCCAAACCUAUACUAUCUCAAUCCCAUGCCUCGAGUGAUGCACCAAACCUUCAAAAAUGCGUCGGAACCGCAGAAUAAGAGGGAGAACAUACAGAAGUGCAGCAAGUAGCGAUAACGCCUAAUCUAAGGCUCAAACUAUCAGACUCAAGUCUGCUAUUCCAGUCUACAAGGAGCUAAGUCAUCCGAACGACGUCGGCAGAAAGUCAAGGCUAUCCAGCCCACACGGGUCAUAAGUCUAAGGCAAAGCUAGCCUAACCUAGACUAAGGACAUCAUGUUUACGGUUAAGGAUGAACAAGGCAUGCAAUACAUAGCAUGCAAGCAUACAAUAACAUUUAACACAUAAGCAUGCAACUCUACUAAACCGGUUAACAUGAUACUAUACCCGAAAUGUGACCAAUCGAUCCUAACAUGAGGUAUCUAAUCAAAAUAAGGUAGUAAACUGGUACCCACUCCCAAUUCACUACAAUCGACAUGCUUUUACACAAUUAAGCUCAAUCUAAAAGAAAGGAAGCCGUAGCCUACCUUAAGGCCGAUCGCGCGCUCUCCAAAUCACUUUACCGGACUUUUCCCUUUCCGAACAGUCUAGAAACGCUGCCCCGCUAUCAAAAAUAGAAUCACAAUGUUACUACGGUCAUUUAGACACCAAAAUUACAACAAACGGAGACGGGUCAAUUUUGGAGUCAAAAUGAGAAUCGUGGGACCCGCACCAAACUGUCCGAAUUUAACUCCGUCAAGAGAUCCUAAACAACACCCCAAACUUGUGUUCCAAAAUGGAACAUAAUUCGAGGCUCAAAACACAAUAAAAACCAACAAGCAAGAAACCACACUUUAAUCAACUAAAAGAAACCCUACAGCAUCAGUCUAAACUCGAAAUAAACAAGAAUCGAAAAGUGCCCAGCACUCCUUGAACACUCUACGACGAAGUCACGACAAUUCUCAACAUGUGGGACUUCGAAUCACCCAGAACCGAGCUAAAAUGAGUGAGAUAUGACCAAAACAAAAAUACUAAAAACAAAAACUCGAAAAAGGUACUGCAGUCAGGUUUUAUCGCGAAAUUACCUUGAACUACGUGCACCCAACAACUUUCGAACACCCUACAGCGAAGCCACCAAAAAUACGAAGCUUCUGCAAUUUUUCCAACAACUAAAAACUCCAACGGGUACUCCGAUCUCGUUCGGAACUCCGUGCACGCAAACGACCAGGUGACCGAACUGUCAGUCCCAGCAAGUCAUAAAUGACUUGGGGUCGCUAUAAGAACGCUCUAAACGACACACAGAAGAAAAGACACAGAAAUGACCAAGAGGGUCAUUACAAACAGUCACCCCUAUACCCACACACGACAAAAAAAUAAAAAAAAGGAUUGAGUUGUAAUUUUUGACGGCUUCAACUUCACAGAUUCAAAAGUCUGCAACUAUUAAUAUUUUUGGGAAAUCAGUAGAUUGUUAGGCAUUGUUUUUCGUGGUUUAAUCUUCAUAAGAGAUAACAUUUAUUUCUUCUUGGUAUAAGUUAAUGUCACGAUUGUUCAAGAUUUGAUUCCAAUGUUAUAAAGUUAUUCAAAUUUUAUGUGUUUAGCUUUGCCAAUAUACUAUUGAAAUACAUGUAAAUAUUUGUAUUGUUGUAUUUGGAUUAAAUAUGAUAUAACAUAUAUCGCUUCUUGCUUUCGUUGAUAGUACAAUUUAAAAAUCAUUAUUUUUUUUAGUAAAAAAAAUGCAUUUUUUAUACGAUUUAAUCGUUAUCAUCCGAAGUGUUUUAGAUUCUUGGUAUUCUAUAGAUCAUAGAUCUAAUGCCAGUUUCAAAUGUUGUGUGAAUAUAAAUGUUAGGUUUUUUUUUAUUUUAAAGGGCUCUUUUAUGUCCAUUAAUUCAGAAUAUUAGCUUUUGCGGUGAUCACUUGCAAAUAAUCAUGCCGCUUCAUUGGUUAAGCGAAAAUAUUUGUUAAAUUAGAUAUAGCCAGAUAUGUCAUUAAUUAUUAGUUACACUAUGUUUGGAUCAUUGUUACCCAUUGUAUUGUAUUGUAUUAUAUUGUAUUGUAUUGUAUUGUAUCGUUACUAUACCUACAAUGUUUGUUUUGAUUGUUACUUAAAAUGUAUUGUAUUGUUAAAUUUCAUUGUUACGUAACAAUGAAAGCCCUAUUUUAUGGAACAACCAAUUUGGUGUGUUCCCAUUGUUUCUUAAUUUCCUUUUCCAAUUAUAUCUUUACAUAAUAUUUCAAAAUACUAUUUUACCCUUUACCUUAAUUAUUUAAAUCUAGUCAAACCUCCUACCCUAGAAUAAUUAAGGAUAUUUUAGUAAAUUUAUAAAUUACAAUACAGUAUGAUACAAUCAAACCAAACAAUUAAAAUGUUAUUAAACAAUAACAAACAAUACAAUCUAGCCAAACAUUGUAUCUAUCAUACAAUAAAAUACAAUACAAUAGAGUACAAUACAAUACAUUAUGAAACAAUGGGUAACAAUAAUCCAAACAGAGUGUUAAAGUGUGCCUUUAGUGUAUUUGUUUAUUUAGUUAUGCUUUAUUGUAAAUUAAUAAUUAUAUUUAAAAAAUUAUAAACUAAUGACAUUCUGUUUUGCUAGAAACGAUAAGUACUAUCAUGUUAAUAAGACAAUGUAAUUAAUUGAAUAUAAUAUUUCGUGGGCAGGUGAUAAGUUAAAUGUAGAAAAGUUUGGUCACUUUAACAUUUUACUAUUUAUUUUUAGACUGCUUUAAUAUAAUCAUAGGUAUAUAUUAGGCUCUAUUAUACAUUAGAUGAGUAACAAUAAUAAUUAAAUUUCAUCUCAAUUAAGAAUGUGGUUCCACAUCUUUUUGAGAUACUUAAGAAACUCAAGGAUGCGGUUACGCACCUUGGCCAAAUUAUUUUAAUAAUUAAUUUUGUUAAUUCAAACCAAGAGGUGUAAAUUGAGAUUAUUAGGUGUGAUGAACUCGAGAGGGGAAGACAAUUAUGUCUCCAAAUGUCAAGAUCGAGAAUGCAGUUAUGCAUCCGGUUUAAGACUAAUAAAAAUUCUAACAAUUAAAAAAUAAGCAAACCAUGACAUAUAUACACAAAUUAUCCAAAAACAUAUCAAGAUAAGUAUAACUCAAUAAAAGAGACCGUGCUAGAACCACGAGAGUACUCGAGGGAUGCCUAAUACCUUCCCCUCGAUCAACAGAAUUCCUUACCUGAAUUUCUGGUUCGCAGACCAAACAAAGAGUCAUUUCCUUUUGAUUAGGGAUUAAAUAAAAUGUGACUUGGAACAUCAUAAUUCAAUUCCAAGUGGCGACUCUGGAAAAAAUAAAAAAAAUAAAAAUUUAUCUCUUAAUUAAUACGGACACUUAAAAAAACCCUUUCCACCGUGCGAAAAAAGAGGUGUGACAUCUCUGACGACUCCGCUGGGGAUACUAACCAGAAUUCGAGCUUUGUUAUGUUGACUUUUAUUUUAUCUUAUUAUUUAUUUUUUUGGAUAUAUUGUGUGUGAUUGCCUGAUAUGAUACUUGUUGCUCUUUUAUCACUUUUUAUAUUGUUGAACUAUAAAUUGUCUUUCUUAGCGCAACCAUCUGAGUUGGCAUGGUUUAAUGGUGUCACACCCCAAAUCCGGAUGUGAUGGCACAUGUCCAUUUCCCACCGGACACGUCAGCCUAACCCAACCACAACGAUAGAGAAGUAGAAAUACGAGAAUAAAAGAUAAUAAAUAAGCGGAAGACUUUAAUUAAGACUCAACACUACCCAGAAUUUGGUUGUCACAUGUACAAACCUCUAAAUACAGAAUUCGAAUAAAAAUAUACAAGUCUCAGAGUAUAGUUCUCGAAUAGAACAAAACUGAAAGUAAAGAUAACUCAAGGGCACGUCUGGAAUGAACCGCUACCUCUCGAGUAUGUCCCGAAGCUCAAUCUGCUAAAGAAAGAGUAUGUCCCAAAGCUCAAUCUGCUAAAGAAAAUACUAAGCCGAAUCUGAGAGAGCUGUCAACCUACACAAUUGUGUAGAAGCAAGGGUGAGUACCGAAAACCACAGGUACUCGCAAGUAACUCUAAACUAAGCAAAACUAGCAGCUACAAACAACUCCUUUCAAUCCCAACCGAACCACCGAAACUUCAAUCUAGCAGCAAACCAACCAACCUAUACUCAUAUUCAACAGCCAGAACCAACAGUAUAUCCUCAUCAACCUCAGAUCAACAAAUAAGAGCAAGUAGAUCAAAUUCCACAUAAGAAGGGUAAACCGAUACAAUCCACACAUCACAGACAAAGAUAAGGCAAAUGCGAUGCAAAAUGCAAUAAUGAUGUCAUGUAGUCGUGAUGCAUGUCUGUCCUACGAUACACAUCUGUUGACGUAAUCAGUCCGCGCUGAAUACUCAAAUCAGAACCCAUGGGGGCCACACAUGGACCAUGUAUCACCGCCGGAACCAGAUCCCAUCGGCAUCCAAAUCGCUAGUCGGAGCUAGUCCAUCUCAUAUAUCUCUAGCCGGAACUAGUCUCAACUGUGUCUCAUAUCCAUCCAUCAUCAUAUCAGUGUCUCAGAACUCAUGCAACAGAUAGUUCACACAUGUGAUGAAUAAUGAAUAUGCACAUAUCAUCAAUCACAAUCAUAUCACGAUCACAUCAUAAUAUUGUUGACACCCAAUUUUGACCCUCCCCGAUAAUAAUUAACUUCUGAGCUUCUUAAUUUUCAAACGAUUUAAAAUGAUUAGAUUUAUAAAAUUCAAACAGUUUCAAGAUUAGUUUAAAUAAUUUCAGUUGAUUUUUAUAGUUUUGAAUAAUGAAUAUGUUUCAUAUAAUUAUAUACAUAAUUAGUAUAUUUUACAAAUGUUUGAAAAUCAUAUCAAAGAUUUUACUUUGUUAAAAUAAAUAUUUUAUUAAUUUAGUUUUUAGUUCGAAUUAUAGUUUUAAUCUUGGAUUAAUUAGUUCAUAUAUAAAUCGAUUAGUUUAUAAUUAAGUUAAUUAUUUUAUUUCGUUAAAAUUAAAGAGCUCAUAAAUUAAUUAUAUUAAUCCGUACCUCUUGAAUUCUAGCCGAACUUAUCCUACUCAACUAAAUUUGGAUACGUCUUUAAGCUCCACUUGGUUAUGACUUAGAUUUGUAUGGCUAACUUAAAUUCAAUUUUAUCUUGAUUAAUUUUUUUAAAACACCAAAAUUUUGGGCUUUUUUCCAUUCCCUUAAAAUGACCCAAAUGCUCAACCCAUUUCCCAUUCUGGUUCCAAUUCAUUUCCUCCAACAACCUAUUGUCUUCCAAUUCCCUUACAAUUCCCACCGACCCAACACAUUAUUUGAGCAGCCCAUCAAAUUAUGACCCAACCCGGCCCAUUCAUCUAUUCUCAAAAGAAUCCAUCAACCUUUAACAACAGUCCAAACACGUUCACUGAAGCAAACGGAAAAGCAGCGAGGAACAGAGACGUACGCUGCGAAUUCUGUUUCUUCUCCAAUGUCCUUAUCGACAUUUAAUAUCGUAACAACAAAAGGGAGCACGCGUUUCUCCCCUUUCCCUUUUCGGAAUGAGUUGAAAAUUGCAAAGAAAGGGGUGUCUGGCCGAAAAUGGUGAAAGUUUUUUAGAUUUUGAAAUUUGAAUGGACCCUUGAAUCUAAAAGGGGACCCGAAAUUCCCCCCAUAUCAACCCUAAUAGUCCCCUAUAUAUAUUUUCUUCUUACUCACAUGAGGGGGGAUUUUUUGGAGUUUGAAAAGUUUAUGUUGAAGAAAAUGUUGAGAGAAGCUUGGAAAAACAGAGGGGAAGAAAGUUUCAAAAAAUAAAUAAAUAUAAAUACAAGAAUACAUACAAGGAAAAAUCAGUAGUUAUACUCAAGCUAGAAUCGAUAAAAGAUUUUCUUUUGUGCUUGCCAUUGGAAAAACUUGUCGGAAUCUCGUCGUGGUAGUGAAGUCGCCGUCCCUCUGCUCGCUCUGUCUCGGUUCACUGCCCUCAUAAAGUUUUGUUCUUUUCUAUGUAUGAACCGGCUCCUCCCGAGUCUAUUUUGGACUCCACCCCUACAUAUCCGAGUUGAUUUCCCAUCGAGUCAACCCCCUUUCGAGCUAAAGAAUUGACGAACAGGUCCCGAGAAUUGAAAGAAGCAACAGAUCGAGAAAAUCGAAAAUUUGGGCCAAGGGCCCAUUCUUAAUUCAAAAAAUUGUAUUUUUGGGCCUAAGCCCACUUAUUAGCUAUUUUAUGUUAGCUUAGGAUAGGUACAGGUGAUUCAAAUGAGCCAAAAGCUCAAAACGAAAAAGGGCCCAAAUACUGGCCCAGGCGGACAGAAACCAGAUUUGGGCCCAACUCUCUAUCCCUCUCUACUUUACCGUGUUCAUUUUACUUGUUAGUAUUUGCCGCUAAUUUUAAGGUUGAACAAUUCGAAUCCCCGAAAGAUACCCAUUUCGAAUUAAUUACUUAACUAAAUUACUCAUCUUUCACUUGACUUAAAAAAUAAAUAAAUGAUAAAUAAAUAAAUUUAUGAAAUGCUUCACUUAGAUAAUAUUUCAUUAUUUUUCUAUUAAAAUGGUUUCAACUAUAAAGUAGUUCACUUUUGCAAUUCAAGAUAAGUUAAAAUAUUUUAGCCAAAUAAUUAAUUGUCGGAUAACCGCGUAUUAGCGGACAUUCUGGGGUGCUUUUAAAAAACCUUCCUAGAAUGUUAAUAAGAACCUCGAACCCUUUUUAAGUUUUCAAUAGAUUUACUGUUUUAGUCUUUUGAAAACAACAGUUUUCUUGAUUUUUCUUAAAAAUUAAGUGGCGACUCUUAAACCAGUCCAAAUAAUAUUUUAAAUAAAACAAAUAUUACACAUCAUCUGUCUCAAUCACAACCAUAUCACGACCACAUCAUAGUAUUACACAUCAUCUGUCUCAACAUCAAUGUAUGUAUCAAUCAUAGCCUACUCAUGCUCUUCUAUCCCCUCAAUAUCAGUUAUCACAUGACUUAUUCAACAAAUUCAAGUCACAUAUAACACAUUUAGCUCGUUUUAUUUCCCCAUCUUUCAUUUACAACAAUUUCAAUCAACAAAUAAAACUCAUCCUCAAUCCCCAUUACUCCCCAACACAAUUAGGAAAGUAGUCAUGCGUAGUCUAAGAGUUUUACAAAGUUUGGAAGCCACUUGCCUUAAAACGAACUCCAAAAGUUACUUGACUUGAGCCCUUUCCUUUCCGAGUAUAAUCCGGAUCACGAUAAUCUAUUCAAACAAUUAUUCACAAUCACAAUUCGAGUCCAAUAUAAAUGGAAUCCCACAAUCAAUACGAAUCUAACAACACCAAUAUCGUGAAAUUUGGAGAACAAGGGUAAAAUGGUCAAAAAUCUCGUUCCGGAAAAUAUUCUCGAAAUCUGGAAAUUUUUAGUGAAAAAUGUUCCCCAAGAAAUUUAGAAUCCAAUAGUGAAAACCGUUUCGAAAAAGGAGUUGAAAUUAAUUCACAAACUCAAUUUGAAAGAAAAUCCACGUUCUUGAAGAAGCCUAAAAUAUUCAGAUCCGAAACUCCAACCCGAAAAUGAAAUAUCUCUUAAAAAACAUCUUACUCAUGCUUAGAUAAGUUCAAAUAUGAAAUUUCAUCAAAAAACGGAGUUAAGAUCGACCUUGAAAUUCUCAAUUUAUCAAACUUUAACUUUACCGGAAAGUCCAAAUUGUACGCGUUUAAUAUGAUGAAAAUAAUCGAUGAAUCAAUAAUUUUUAUGUUAAAAUCAGUUUUACCCAUAACAUAAGGAUCGUAAAUAUAUCUUUUUUAUCAAAAAGGGAGUCCAAAUCGAUAAAACCCCAAUUUUUCCCAAGAGAUUUACGGAUAGGAAAAAAAACCAGAUAAAGAAAUUAUGAGAAAAUGUCGAAUUGAAGAUUGAAUACUAACUCUCAUAUUAAUUCAAGAAGAAACCCGUAAGAAUCAUUCCAUUCCGAUCUCUAGAACUCCAGAUAUGCUCAAAAUACCAAAUGAACACAGUCUGAGAUUUUUAUAACAGUACAUGGCUGUUAUGCACCAGAAAAACAGCAGUUAAUCUUUCACUAAAAAGGCCGUAAUUUCCUCAUACGAUAGUGAAAUGACCCGAUUCUUUUUUAUAAAUGUCUUAAAUAAUGAUACGGACCUGCUCGUUCAAUCGGAGCUCAAUUUCAUGCUCGUUUGCCCAGUCAAAUAUCAUUUCUACUCGGUAAACAAUUAUUUCUUAUUUGCGAUAAAAAUCCAAUCUCGGGUUAGCGAAAAUGCACCAAAAUUUGCAGAUAAGUCCUAUAAUUCAUGAUCAAAAUUUCAGAACCUUCAGAAAUUUUUUUCGACCUUUAAAACUAAUAAUGAACCCUUUAGUUGCCACAAUUUGCUGAAAUAGUGUCAAAGCAUCCAAGAAGCUUAAAAGCUCACCCAAAACUCAUUUGGCACUUCCCGAACACAAACCAAAUAUGCUACUAGCUUGAAAAUGACAUUUCGGACUCAAUGAAAUCGUCGGAAUUUGAAUUCGAGGUCUCCUUGACCCGGUAUCCGAUAAGGCGUCAAGAAACUAACUUUAGGCUCAAAAACUCGAAACGCACUCGGGGCCUCUAAAAAUUCAACCAAGACUCAUUCUAGACUUAGAAUCACCCCCUGAAUCCAACGGUGCCCUCGGAAUUCCAUUUCGAGCACCGGAACCUCGUUUGUUGACCAAAGUCAACUCUUGAUCAAAAUUUCACAAUUUUAGCAACUUAGGACCUCAAAUCUUCGUUUUAACUCCAAAUUCGACUCAGUAAAUUCUCAUAGACCCAUUUCAACAUUCUAAAAUUGCUGGAAUCGACGGAAAUCCGAUUCGAGUCUCGAAACUCCAAAUGACUCGAAAUAGCACUUUUAACCAAACUUUAACUCUUAAAAACUCAACUUUCCAAAAACUCAACUUUUCAUCAAUUUUCCUUCAAACCAACUUCAAAAAUACAACAAUUAGGACUCGGGGCAACUAUCGGGAGGGGUAAAACGGUCAUUUUAUGAAAAUUUCCAAAAAUGACUUUUAGGGUCAUUACAAGGCUAACCUUAGACAAAAUCUUGGCUAAGUGGGGUGUUGGUCAUAUGAGGAUGAGUGGGGUGUAAUGUCUAGGCGGCAUGUGUUGAAGCAGUAAUUUUUCCAUUUUCGUUACUCAGGUAUGACAAAAUUCAUAAAGGUAGCACAAGUGAAGAUGAAACUGGAUCACGAUUAGGAAAUGCAGCUACCAAGUAUGUUGUAAUUGAAGAAAUGGAAGAUCAAGACCAUGGUCCUUGAGGUUUUACAUAUGACAUUCUAACAAUGUUGCGCUCUGAUGGCGUUUUGUAUUUGCAACGGAAGGAAAUGGACAAAAAAAUGCGUAGAUUUUCUAGCAAAUGAAGUUCAAGUCGUAUACAUGAAGAAGAUUUGUUAAUCAAGGAAGAUGAGGAAGCUGAGUUUUUUCACCUAGUAAACUUUAAGACAUGUGGCUUAUAGAAGGGAAAUUUAUUACUCCCUAUGUGCUAAAAAAGUAAUGAUAUACAUUUUUAUAGUUAGUAAAAAUUUAACUUUUAAACUUCUCAUUUUACCCCUAAAGUUAGGGGUGAAAGUUUGGUAUUCAGUUCAAGAUUUCCAAAUUUUGAGUUCGAUAGUUAAAAAUAGAUUCAAUUCAGUAUGGUAUUCAGUAAUACCGUAUUAAAGUUGUAGGAUUUGGAAAAGAAUGAUCACAAAUCUUUCUACUUUUUGUUUGUUAAAAUCAUGUCCUUUUCUGACUAAGUUAAAGAAAAAGAGAAAUUGGUCUCUUCUUUUGUUUAGAUGAUAAUGUUAGUGGAAUGUGAGACAAAAUUAUAUGAAUUAAAGUUUGAUUUCGAUAUGUAAUCCGAUUGAUUUGAUGUUAUUUUUAUUCUUUAUUUGAUUUCAAGUAUGCAUAAAAACAAUGUAACGUAUAUUUUACAUCCACACAAAUAUCUAUACAUAUUUUUAGUUUAAGAUUACAAAAAUUUUAAAAGUCGUCUAUACUUUCAUAAAAUUAAUAUCCCAUGAAACUAAGAUACACAAACUAAAACUAGCGGAGUAACUUAGUACUAAUUCGAUUUGCUUCAUACAUUGUUUUAGUACUAGACAUAUAAGCUCGUAGCUAACACAGACUCAAUAACAUACAUAGAAUUUGGAAAGACAAAUAAUUAUUAACACGAUUAUUAUUAAUUUACGAGACUUUUACGAUAAUUUUUUUCUAUUCAAAUUUAUGUGAUACAAAUUAAUUUUCGUGUGUAUUAUCCCAUGAAUUUGGCGCCUCGGAGCACCCAAAAACAUUUUUUGAAAAAUCUUUAUGAGGACCUCUGUAAUGAGUUGGGAACCAUCGCUUAUACUCACACUAUUUUUCUUAACGCUUAUUUCCGGAUUUACUGACCCUUUUUUAGGAAUUACGUAAAAAAAUUCAAUUUUUGGGUGUAUUAGCCUAUGGAUCUGGCGCAUUAGAGCACCCAAUUUUUUUUUCUGAAAAAAACUUUAUGAGUAAUUAUGUAAUGAGUUAGAGAUCACCACGUAUACUCACACCAAUUUUAACGACUAUUUCCGCAUUUAUAGAUUUUUUUUUUAGAAAUUACACAAAAUUCUUGAUUGUUCGUGUGUAUUAGCCCAUGAAUCUGGCGACUCAGAGCACCCAAAAUUAUUUUCUAAAAAACUUUAUGAGAACCUCUGUAGUGAGUAAGGGAACCACCAUAUAUACCCACACCAUUUUUAAUAGCUAUUUUCGCAUUUAUAGGCCAUUUUUUUAUGAAUUAUGCAAAUUCCUUGAUUUUUCGUGUGUAUUAGCCCUUGAAUCUAGCGCCUCAGAGCACCCGAAUUUUUUUUAUGAAAAAACAUUAUGAGGACUUCCGUAAUGAGUUAGGGAACCACCAUAUAUACUCAUGCAAUUUUUUAAUGCCUAUUUCUGCACUUACAGACCUUUUUUUUAGGAAUUAUGCAAAUUACUCAAUUUUUAAUGUGUAUUAACCCAUGAAUAUAUUGGUGAUAUGGCUUUCAGACGAAUUUUUUGUAAAACUCUUUAUGGAACCCUUCAAAGGGAGUUGGGGGAGCAGUACGUACAAUUUUACCAUUUUUAGAGUGAUUUAUGGGCAUAAGGAGUCAAUUUACAUUAGUUAGGCGAUUUUCUCAAUUUUUCAUGUGUAUUAUGUAACAUCCGGCAAUUUGAAAUAGCUAAGAAGAGGCUUAGAAUUUGAAAAUUUUCAAUUUUUGGAAAGGAUUUGAAAAUCUAGAAAAUUUGGCUAAGUAUGGAAAUCAGUGAUUUUUGGCCAACUUUGAGCAGUCAUAACUUCUAACUCAGGAUGAGUUAGGAGUAGUUCCAGUUAUGGUUGUGAAUCUUGUGGAAUGAUCUUUCCAACGCCACCGAGUUUGCUCAAUUCCGAGUUCGUAUGAGCGAGUUAUGGCCUUUGAAAGUUGGGCAGUUGACAAGGAAAUCCGUCCGGGAAUCAUUAAGGGCAUUUUGGUCUUUUCCCUAGCUAUUUCUUUUGAGGAUGUAUUGUUGUAUAGGGCUGAUCUUUGGAUCAUUUUGUUCCAUUUUUAAGAGAGUGAAGGCUAGGGCUUGAGAGUGAAGAAGAGAAGAAGANNNNNNNNNNNNNNNNNNNNNNNNNNNNNNNNNNNNNNNNNNNNNNNNNNNNNNNNNNNNNNNNNNNNNNNNNNNNNNNNNNNNNNNNNNNNNNNNNNNNNNNNNNNNNNNNNNNNNNNNNNNNNNNNNNNNNNNNNNNNNNNNNNNNNNNNNNNNNNNNNNNNNNNNNNNNNNNNNNNNNNNNNNNNNNNNNNNNNNNNNNNNNNNNNNNNNNNNNNNNNNNNNNNNNNNNNNNNNNNNNNNNNNNNNNNNNNNNNNNNNNNNNNNNNNNNNNNNNNNNNNNNNNNNNNNNNNNNNNNNNNNNNNNNNNNNNNNNNNNNNNNNNNNNNNNNNNNNNNNNNNNNNNNNNNNNNNNNNNNNNNNNNNNNNNNNNNNNNNNNNNNNNNNNNNNNNNUUGCCUACUGAUCUACGGUCAUGACUUACGGACCGUGAAUGGACCUACGGUCUGUAGAUCACUUCCGUCAAGGCCAUGUUUCUGCAUUUCUUAUUGUACCUAUGUUUCCAAGUUGUCUCCAACACUUCAAGUUGCAUCUAAAUGUUUAGAACUCAUUCAUAACAGGUGAUUAUAUCCCUUGAAUCCAUAAUUCAAUUCAAGGCGAGUUAGAAUCGAGUUAAAGAGAAGUUAGAGUCAAGUCAAGCAAGGUUAAGAAGUUAGUUCAAGCAAGUUUUCAAAGUUGUUCGAGAGUCUUUAAUGAACGUUUUUACUUCAUUCUAAGGCUCAAGUUGCAGGUCAAGUAAAGAGUUUAAAGUUGAGUUCAUUUCUCAAAGUUAUUAGGGAACUAUGUAUUCCCAAAGCAGUUUUUAAGGAAAUGUUUUUACAUUUAAACAAGGUUGGAAACUGAGAUUUCCAAAGGGGCCUUCGGGCCAGUUUUUCAGAAAAGAGUUAUCAUUUCCUAAAUGAAGCAAGGUUGGAAACUGAGAUUUCCAAAAGAGCCUUCAGGCAAGUUUUUGAGUAAUUAUCUCAUAUCAGCAGGAAGAAAUAUGUUUUAAAAACAUAAGAGCUAGUACAUUUUUGGGAGUAGUAUCGAGCACCGAAAAUCGUUUCAAAAGAUUUUAGUUUUACUUAAAUAUUUUAUUAAGUUAAUUAGUAGUUUAUAUUUUGAAUCAUUAGUUUAUUAAGUUAAUUAUUUUAUUUCAUUAAGAUUAAGAAGCUCCUUAAUUAAUUUAUGAAAAUUCAUCUUGUUUAAGUAUUGAUCAAAUCCACCGACUAAAUGCUAAUCGAAAUUCAAUUGAUUAAUAUGGCAAUUUUAGUCAAUUUCUUCAACCCUUUGCAAGACCCAAUUAUCUUAAACCCUUUUAGCCAAACUUUUGACCCAAUAUUAGAAGCCCACCCUUUUCAUUCUUCUGACCCAAGCCCAAAACCCACUUCUUCUUUUCUCAAAAGAACCCAACGUGAACAACAGCAUACCAAAUUGACCCGACCCCCAACACAGCUGCUCGUUCUUCUUCAACAAUACACGUCAAAUUCCAACGAUUUAAUUCACGGAGUCAAGCGGAGGCAGACGGAAAAGCAGUAAAGCAGGCAGUGCUCUGCAUUUUUCUUGUCUUCUUCCUCAAUGUCCCUUUCCAAUUUGUACCUGCAGCAGCAAAAGCACCUGCGAUUUUGUCCUUCCAGCCGCGUCUCAGUCCUUGGGGAUGUGGGAUCGAUCCACGUCGCGCCUAAGGAUGAGUUGAAUUGAUCAAGUCCGCCCGUCUACCCUUUCCCCUUUCGGAAUGGGUCAAAUUUUGGAGAAAAAGGUUGUCUCCCUGAAAGGGGUGAACGAUUUUGAAUUCAAAUUGGAGUUGGGCUUUGUCUAUUCGAAUUUUUUUGAUCUGUUUCCCUCAUUUUUCUGAACCCUAAUUUCCCCCACUAUAUAAACCCCAUUUUUAUUCACUAUCGGGUUUCUCUUUUUUUAGAGGAAUUUUUGGGGCAAAAACACGAAGAGUAAGUUAAGAAAAUAGCUAAAAUACAUACAUGUAUAUACAGAAACACAGUCAAGGCCAAGAGGAUUGAGUUUCGAUAGGAGUAUCGCGUUACUACUUCGUUUUGCAUCGGUUUUCUCAAGCUUCACUCGAGUCUGAGGUUCUGCCCGGAAUUCUCGUCCGUCGUUCGUGUUCGAGUCUCGUGGUGAAGAUCGUUUCCUUGCUCGUUUGUAUCCCAGUUGCUGCUCAUCAAAAGGUAUACAACUCUCAAUUCUCGCAUUUGUUUAGAUUCCAAUAGAUGUUUGAGAUCUGAGUUGUAUUAUGUAUUGGUGUGAUUCGAUUGUUUGUGUAUAAAUGAUAAAAGGUUAAUUCUUUGUUGGUGGUGGUUCUCGUUUUGUUUUAUUCUUGACUCUCAUAGCUUUUCAAAACACUCCUUUCACAGUUUAUUCUCUCAAAAUGUAAGACAUUUAAGUAUUGGGGUUUUAAGAAUAUUAAGAGCGACUGGAAAUUUUGAAUCUCUUGAAAUAGCGAGAAUUUGACUUCGGUACUUCGUGUGGAGUUUGGUAUCUCCUUCACGUCUUGUUUGAUUCCGAGUGGUAUGAAAUGAGCACUUUGUUGAUCUCUAUGGCUUCAUCCUUACGUUAUCCUUUAUUUCGAUUUCCGUACCUUUGUUCGAAAGUCUGUUUGGUUUAAAUUUCUAACCGAUCAUCAUGUUAUUGAUUUCACUGUCUUGGUUAAAUGUAUAAAUCCGAUUUAUAGCUUUUUUUUUAGCCUAGUUUUCGUAUUGUUUUGAAUCAUAUGAUUGUCUUGUUGUAAUUAGUAUGCCUAAUACGUCUUCAAGCAUGAGAUGCUCUCUUUCUAGUUUGUCAUUGUUAGUGUAGUUGCGUUUUCAUUCUGAUGGCUUGGCUUCCUCUGUUUAUUGGAUCCCUUUGUUGCCUUACUGCUUUAGCGAUAUGUUAGACCCGCUUCCGUGCUUUCGUUUUACUUAUUUUUUUUGAUGCAAAAUUUGCAGUUGAGUUUUAAAAUGUAAGAUUUCCGCUAAUGAUUCAGAUUUUCAUGACUAUCUGUGUUGCAUUGAAUCCAAUGAUACCAUUCCCAACUAAAUAACAAAAAUGAAUAUGUUUGUAUGUUUGGUAUUUAUUAUUAUUAUUAUUAUUAUUAUUAUUAUUAUUAUUAUUAUUAUUAUUAUUAUUAUUAUUAUUAUUAUUAUUAUUAUUAUUAUUAUUAUUAUUAUUAUUAUUAUUAUUAUUAUUAUUAUUAUUAUUAUUAUUAUUAUUAUUAUUAUUAUUAUUAUUAUUAUUAUUAUUAUUAUUAUUAUUAUUAUUAUUAUUAUUAUUAUUAUUAUUAUUAUUAUUAUUAUUAUUAUUAUUAUUAUUAUUAUUAUUUUUACUUAAAAUUGGUCUAAGUGUUUUUUUUUAUUCAAAAUCGGGGGGGCAUUUGUUAAUUAUGGUUUAUCCAUUUUUGCUUAAAAAUAAUAAUAAAAAAAUAUGUAUGGAAUUCUCAAGCGGUAUAUUAAAAGGCUUAAGUCGGUAGCAUCUCAUCUCCUCAUUUGAUCUUACGUCAUUAUUAUUAUUCUUGGUUUCAUGUGAUAUGUCUUUAGAUAAUAUUUAGGAGUUACUUGUUAUGCAUUAAUUUUUAUUUUUAUUUUUAUCUCAUUUGUUUUUACUUGUCAUAUCAUUCUAUCUAGUUUAUACAUAUAAAUGAUAAUUAUAGGAAUCCUUUGUUGACUCCCUAUUAUUUGAUUUUCCUUAUAGAAUAGCUACAAUAUUGGUAAUUAAGUUAUGUUAGUUUGAUCACUGUAGUGUUAAACUUGCUAAGUCAUUUAUCUCUUAGUCUUAUUGGUUUAAAAUAUAGUAUUAAUCUCAUUUGAUAACAGUUUCUAUGUGUACUCCAGAGUUCUGCCUUAAGUGCUUAACAUUUGUUCGCUGCCUGCAUUCUCAACAAUUCAUUUAAUCAAUGUCAAUUUAAAGGUAUAUGCAUGAAAAUGGAGAGUGGACCGAGGUCAAACUAGAAUUUGUUCACGAUUCGCAUAUCACAUUUCUUUGUUUAUAUCCUAGUAGUAUUUGUGAAUGUGUAUCAGAAUAACUUUAUCCAUUUUUCUCAUUGUAGCUAGCGACGAGUAGUGAUUAUUAGAUUAGUCCUUAAUAUCUUAUUAUGAUUUUGUCGUAUUGAGUUGUUAGUCGCCUUAAUGUUGUUCAUUUUUUAGAAAAUGUGUUAGAAUUUUCUCGUCCCAUGCUAAUAUGAUUUUAUUUGUCUUUGUAUGUGAAAUCCGCCCGAGUUCGCCAUGAACUCUUAUCUUCCCUAUUGCAUUUCGGGAGGGCCGCGAAGGCUCAAGUCUUUUUUUUUUACAUAUCCGAGUCAGCCAGAUCUUAAAAUCGACGAACAGGUCUCGAAAUUGAAAGAAAAGCGGACCAAAUCGGGAGUUGAAAAAGAUUGGGCCAAAGCCUACCUUUAUUUAUUCGGAAUUGUAUUUUGUUAUUAUUGGGCCUAAGUCCUUGCCAUUUUACUUACUAUUACUUGUUAGUUCCUAGGACAGGUGGAGAAAUUGGGCUUAAGGUCCAAAAGAAAGAUAUUUAUUUCAUGUCAGACUAGGACAGGUGCAGGUGACUCAAAUGGGCCGAAAAGCCCAAAACGAAAGUGGGCCCCAAAAUAUUGGCCCAGGCGGACAGAAAAACCAAUUUGGGCCCGAAUCUCCCUCUCUCCUUAUUAUAUAUUUCGUGUUAAUUUUAUUGUUAGUACAUGCUUAUUUGCUAAUUAAUUUUAAGGUUCUUAACUCAUAAUUCCCCAAAGGACACCCAUUUUAAGUUAGCUAACUUAUAGUACUUUAUCUUAAAAUAACUAAGUAUACUUGUCUUUUUUCUAAAUUAAUUUCUAAAAAAAUUAGAAGCUUUUCUCUACUUGGACAUUUUAGAUAAUAUAUUCCCUUUUCCUCUUUAAAUGAUUUUAAGUUAUAAAAUUCGUUCAUUCGGUAACUAGUCAAGCAUGCCCAUUGUUAGCCAAAUAUUUUAAUUGUUGGAUAACCGCAAGUUAGCGGACAUUUUGGGUGUUUUCAAACCCUUCCCGAAAUGUUAAUAAGAACCCCGAACCCCCUUAAUAGUUUUCAAUAGAUUUACUGUUUUGAUCUAUUUGAAAAUGAAUAGUUUUCUUGAUUUUUCUUAAAAAUUAAGUGGCGACUCUUAAACCAGUCAAAAUACAUUUUUAAAUAAAACAGUUAGAGAUUCAUAUGCCAGUAGAAAAUGUGGAGAACUUUUCUAUUUUAUUUCGUAAAAUGUUGGCCUAAUAUGAAUUGAGAUGGGGAACAUGACCAAUGAGGACUGAGACGUAGUAGUUAUUGUUGUUGUUGUAUAUUGAAGCUUCAGAAAUAUUUUUUUCAUGUUCAUACAUUUACUUCAGGCCGAUGCUUUCUAGGAGGUUUGUAGGACUAUAUGAUAGAGUUUCUUAUGCCAGUAGGAAAUAUAGAGAACUUCUAGUACUUUUCAUGAUUAUGUUUAUUUCGUAAAGUGUUGUCCUGAGGUGAAUUUAAGUGGGGAACUUGGUCACAUAUAGACGAUCCCAGCUUAUUUUAGACUGAGACGUAAUUGUUGUUGUUUAUUGAAGCUUAAAGGAUGUGUUUGCUCUUCUCAUGUGUUGACAUGGGGAAUAGGUACAAUAAAAGUCUUCUUGGGGAUAAACUAGGGAAGUUCCCUGUGCCUUUACUGAUAAACACUGUGCACUUUGCGAUGCAAGCUGUUUUGUCCAAGGCCAUUACCGGGUUUUGGCAUCAACGAUUUCAACCUACAGUGAUGAUGUCUUGGAGAGACUAUUCUUUGAAAGGUAACGUUAAGACUAAUAAUUCCCUUUUUUCUUUGGUUUCGAUUGAGUAGAAAACUAAAAGUAUUUGAAAGGCAUAUGAUAUUAUAGAGCAGGAAAUAUGUGUAUAAUGUGUUUAUGCACUUGUCCAGUGGAUUUGUUUACGAAACAUAGGAAGAUGAGAGUAGGAUUAUUAACGAGCUUGAAUGUAUGUGCAUCUUAUGAGUUGACAGCUUCAAUUAGCUAUAGUUUGUGACUUAGUUAAGCCCACAUGUUACACUUAUUGGCUUAUUACUGAUAUAUCGACAAUGGUUUCAAAUGAACUUUUAUGUACACAAAUAGAGGCAGUUCCUGUUACGUACGAGAAUCUCAAUUUUUAUCCAAGUUAGUUCUUCAUGAGUUCAAGACAUAUAAUCUCUUAUGUCUUUCAUUUCUAACCUUUAUGUAGGAAUCUUUUUCCACGACUAAUACUAUAGACGGCCUUUGCCUUUCACAGUUGUACCGACAGCUCUUACAACAGCAAUGGAUGUGAACCUCAGCAAUGCAUCCCUUGUUUUCAUCUCAGUCACAUUUGCCACUAUGGUGUGCAUCAUACAGUUUGUGUCAAUACUGAUAGACUGCAAAUUUUUCUUCAAAAAUUGAGCUCUGAGAAAGCAUGUUUGUUAAACUCACGCCCUUAAUAUUCGUCGAGGGCUCUAAUAUUUGCAUUUAUGUACCUUGAAAUUUAGCAGUCACAACUCUCUGCCACUAAAGUAAGUGUGAUUGUCGAAGCCUUCAAGGGCCACUCAAAUAAUCGUCUAAUAUCAAUAAGAAUAACAGAUUUCUUACUUUGUUUUCUCCUUCCUUAUUCUGAUACGAACUCUCUGCCCAUCUUUCUCCUAUUCUUCGCAUUUGCUUUCAGGUACUACUUUUAACCACUGAUCUCUUAUGUUUAAUUGUGAUUUUUUAUGGGGGGUAGCGGGCCAGAAGCAUCGAAUUUCUACUUGAUCCUCUGUUAUAGAUGUACAUCCAACAAUAUUAUUCAUAAAUGCAACUUUUUUUUCCAUAUUGAGGACUUAAUAGAAUGUGAUUGUUAAUUCGUUAUGGACUAAAAACCUGAAAGCGUCUAUGAAAUAACUAUCUUUGAUGAAUACGAUACAUUUGACGGGGCUCAUAUCUAAGCUGAAUACAUGGCCUCAAUUAUUUGUGUAAGGUUGGAGUCUCCAAAUGUAAAGCUGCUGGGGAUCAUCUUGGUCAUUUCUUGUAUUAUUUAUUCUCAUAUAUGAAGAAGUAUUCAUAAUUUUCAUCUUCAUCUGUCAUUCAUAAAUCAUAUCUGUAACCUUCACUUGUACACCAGAUAAAACGUUUACUUUAUCGUACAAUAUUUUCUCGUUUCACAACUAUCAUUGACAAUUUGGAUAAACUUAGGUAAUCUUCUUAAUGAGUGUUUUCGUAAGCUUUAUCGCCUUGUUGAUAACUGUGUCAUUUGUUAAUUUACAUCCGUUUGGUAGAUAAGUCUGACUCCAUUUUCUGAUAAUGCAGUUGCAAAGGAGACAGAAUUUGAGUUUUGGGAUUUGUCUUUGUUAUGCUUGCUGCAGUUAUGUCUGGAUUUCGCUGGACUAUGACUCAGAUUCUUCUGCAGGUUGGAUUUUGUGACAUUCGUUGCAUUGUUAUAAUUUAUUUCUCGUUCCGUUGUUUUGUCAAUAGUAUGUUUGCUUACUUUGUGUAUUUUUCUGUUUGUUUUCCCAUAUCCAACUGGUUGUGCUGAACAUAAAACUGGCAUAAAGAAAGAAGCCUAUGGUAAUGACUAUGAACAACUCUUAGCAAAUUUUAAAUAUUCUGGAAAUGUUAUUAUCACCAUCAUUAUUAUUAGCAGUCGUAGCAGCAGCGACUGCACCACUACUUAGACUACAUCAAAUCUGAUCUUGUUUUAAAAGGGCAGUUCGAUGCACGAAGCAUCUCACAUUCACGCAGGGUCCAAGGUAGGGCCACACCUCAAGAGAGCAUGAUGUAGGCAGCCUACCCUGAUACAAAUCAGCGGCUAAUUCCAUAGCUCAAACCCUGCUUUGUCUUAGUCCUAGUUUUGACCAAAUUAAUAUGUUGAUUUGUUAUUUGUUUUAUAGUUUGUGAAUAAAUUGUGUAAUGAAAUGCAUGCUUUGGUUAUUGCAGGUUUAAAAAAUCCACUCACACUAAUGAGCUAUGUUACUCCGGUAAUGACUCUUUCAACUGCUGUGUUGUCCCUUAUUUUUGAUCCGUGGCACGAAUUCAGACACACCAAUUACUUUGAUACGUCAUGGCAUAUAGCUAGAAGUUGUUUGUUGAUGCUUUUUGGCGGAACUUUGGCUUUCUUUAUGGUAUGUAUGUGUCCAAGCACUGGUAUCAGUUCAAUUUGUGGAUUUUCCAUCUCAUAGUGAAAAUGAAGCCUUCUAAUAGGCUUAGUUCGUUUAGAAAUGAUCUGAGUGUUCAACUGACACAGUGGAGACGAGUUGAUGUGUCUGAAUGUGCGUUCUCAAAGUUGGAGUGUUUAAACUGUUCCUAGCAGUUUAGUCGUCCUAAAUCAAAACGACUGUAUGUUUACUUAAGCUAUAGUAGUUCAAUCAAAUUGUUGAUAUCGAGCCCGUUUUAGUCAAAAAUGUGACUUUGGCAUGGUUUAAUGGCAUGUGUUGAAGUCGUAAUUUUUCCAUUUUCGCUACUCAUGUAUGAAAAAAUUCAUAAAGGUAGCACAAGUGAAGAUGAAACUGGAUCACCAUUAGGAAAUGCAGCUACCAAGUAUGUUAUACUUGAAGAAAUGGAAGAUCAAGACCAUGGUCCUUGAAGUAUUACAUAUGACAUUUCAACUACGCUGCACUCUGAUGGCGUUUUGUAUUUGCAACGGAAGGAAGGGGACGAAAAAAUGCAUAGAUUUUCUACCAAAUGAAGGUCAAUCGUAUACAUGAGGAAUAUUUCUUAAUCAAGGAAGUUGAGUUUUUUCACCUAGUAGACUAUAAGACAUGUUGCUUAUAGAAGAUAUUACGACUUGAAAAAGAAACUUACAAAAAUGUUACUAGUUAAGAACUAACUACUUAAAUACACUACAUUACAAUAUUCGGAAUUUUACCAUUUAGUGGCGACUUCCAAAAGUCGUUAAAUAACAUUUGAUUAUGGAUUCACAUGUAUCUAGGAUAUACAUUGAUUCUCUCGCUCGCAUCUCUCAUCUCUUGCUCCCCUUUCUUCCUUUCUCGCUCCCCUCUCUUCCUAUGUUAGGAAACCUUUAUGGAAUCCUCCGUUGGGAGUUGGGGGAGCAUUACGUACAAUCUCACAUUUUUUAGAGUGAACUUUGGGCAUUUAAAGACCAAGAUUUUCUUAAUUUUGUGUGUGUGUUAUUCCAUGAAUAAUUUGGUGAUAUGACUUCCGAACGAUUUUUUUUGUGAACCUUUAUGGUACCUUCCGUAGGGAGUUGGUGGAGCAUUACGUACAGUCUCACUAUUUUUAGAGUGAUAUGACGGAGAUAUAACUCCUAAUAGCCCAAAAUAUGUCUAAAAAAUGACAAGACUUCACAUAUUUCUCUCACAACUCUCUACAGAGGGUUCCGUAAUGACUUUGCACAAAAAUCAACCGUCAGUCACAUCACCAAAAUAUUCAUGAAUUAACUGUGUCCACACAAACCCAAUAGCAUAGAUGGAAUUUGGAAAGAUAAUUAUGUUGGGAUAUUUUCUUCCUGUGGUGCUCGCUGCAGCGUACAAUGAUGAGCUGUAUAUGUCUCCAUCUUUUUUCAUUCAUUUUUUUAAAUUUAAAAUGAUCGUUCCAUAGGUGUGAUAAGAUAUGAUAUAUUUUAAUUACACUUAAAGAUUAUGUCAUAAAUUGAGAUAUUUUAUGAGAUAAUUAAUUAUAUUACUAUGUAAAUGAAUAAUUUAUAUUUCAUCAUUAUAAAAUGGAAAAAUUCUUUUGGCCAGAAUGGUAAAAUAACAUAUUUCACACUAUGUUAUUUUAUCUUUUUGAACAUUUUUACCAUUUUAACUUUAAUACCAUUUAAUUAAAAAAAAUUUAAAAAAAUCAGUUUUUUUAAAAAUAAAAAGGAUAUUAUAGACUUUUGAAAAUUUCUAACCAAAUUCUGGCCAAAUUUUCCGGAUUUUGGUUGUAUGAUACUGAAUGUGAGACUGGAAUUGCUGUGCAAAUGGAUUUGGAGGAAAAGUACAUGGAUAAACUUGCAUGUGACCAAGAUAUCAUAGAUUUUGCUAAAUUUUAGGGUUUAAUUUUCAUGUUCUUUCAUUUAAUUUGUACUCCCUUCAUUUUAAUUUUCAUGUUCUUUCAUUUUCUAUGAACACGCUUUGACUAUAAUUAAGUAGCAUUUUAAGUUGUAGCAAGGAUUGUACUAAAAUAAAUAAUGUAAGAUUUUUGUUAGCAUUUUUGUUUACUUGUAGUAGCGAAUGUUCGCUACAAAAAAUCACUAUUUAGUGGCGACUUUCAAAAGUCGUUAAAUAACAUUUAGUUGUGGAUUCACAUGUAUCUAGGAUAUAUACACUGACUCUCUCGCUCGCAUCUCUCAUCUCUUGCUCCCCUUUCUUCCUCUCUCACUCCCCUCUCUUCCUAUGUUAGGAAACCUGUAUGGAAUCCUCCGUAGGGAGUUGGGGAGCAUUACGUACAAUUUCACAUUUUUUAGAGUGAACUUUAGGCAUUUAGAGACCAAUUUACAGGAAUUAUGUGAUUUUCUUAAUUUUUUGUGUGUGUUAUUCCAUGAAUAAUUUGGUGAUAUGACUUCCGAACGAUUUUUUUUGCGAACCUUUAUGGUACCCUCCUUAGGGAGUUGGUGGAACAGUACGUACAGUCUCACCAUUUUUAGAGUGAUAUGACGGAGAUAUAACUCCUAAUAGCCCAAAAUAUGUCUAAAAAAUGACAAGGCUUCACAUAUUUCUCUCACAACUCUCUACAGAGGGUUACGCAAUAGCUUUGCACAAAAAUCCACCGUCAAUCACAUCACUAAAAUAAUCAUGGGCUAACUGUGCCCACACAAACCCAAUAGCAUAGAUGGAAUUUGGAAAGAUAAUUAUGUUGGGAUAUUUUCUUCCUGUGGUGCUCGCUGCAGCGUAUAAUGAUGAGCUGUAUGUGUCUCCAUCCUUUUUUAUUCAUUUUUUUAUUUAUUUAAAAUGAUCAUUUGAUUGGUGUGAUAAGAUAUGAUAUAUUUUAAUUACACUUAAAGAUUAUGUCAUAAAUUGAGAUAUUUUAUGAGAUAAUUAAUUAUGUUAGUGAAAAACUUACAAGAUAACAAAAAAUACAAGAUUACAAUUGAAACUAAAAAUGAAGAAAUAAAUCUCUUCAGGAUGAGGCACGGAUAUCUCGCUCUCUUUAAGGAGAUUCAAGCCCACUGCAACAAAUGUUCUUGACUGAUCCAGCAGUAGUCCUCUUGACUAGCAAAGGUUUGAGUUUCAACACAUCUUUACCCUUUAGCUGGUCGAUUUGCUGAAGAUGAAUCGUCAAUUCUUUGUCUCGAUCAAGGUGUAACUUAUAUAAAAGCAACGGUCAAUUGUAAGCUUGAUGAUUUUCUUCAACAAGCAAACAAAGACGUUGAUCUAGCAUUGCCAUUUUGGCCUCAAGGAAUUAUGGAUGUGGACGAGACGAAUUUAUUCGUCAUGCCACUUCUGGUUGUGCAAGUCACAACAUUUGAAUGUUAAAGUGUUAAAGUGUGCCUUUAGUGUAUUUGUUUAUUUAGUUAUGCAUUAUUGUAAAUUAAUAAUUAUAUUAAAAAAUUAUAAACUAAUGACAUUCUGUUUUGCUAGAAACAGCAAGUACUAUCAUGUUAAUAAAACAAUGUAAUUAAUUGAAUAUAGUAUUUCGUGGGCAGGUGAUAAGUUAAAUGUAGAAAAGUUUGGUCACUUUAACAUUUUACUAUUUAUUUUAGACUGCUUUAAUAUAAUAUAUUAGGCUCUAUUAUACAUUAGAUGAGUAACAAUAAUAAUUAAAUUUCAUCUCAAUUAAGAAUGUGGUUCCACAUCUUUUUGAGAUACUUAAGAAACUCAAGGAUGCGGUUACGCACCUUGGCCAAAUUAUUUCAAUAAUUAAUUUUGUUAAUUCAAACCAAGAGAUGUAAUUUGAGAUUAUUAGAUGUGAUGAACUCGAGAGGGGAAGACGAUUAUGUCUCCAAAUGUCAAGAUCGAGAAUGCAGUUAUGCAUCCGGUUUAAGACUAAUAAAAAUUCAACAAUUAAAAAAUAAGCAAACCAUGACAUAUAUACACAAAUUAUCCAAAAACAUAUCAAGAUAAGUAUAAGUCAAUAAAAGAGACAGUGCUAGAACCACGAGAGUACUCGAGGGAUGCCUAAUACCUUCCCCUUGAUCAACAGAAUUCCUUACCUGAAUUUUUGGUUAGCAAACCAAACAAAGAGUCAUUUCCUUUUGAUUAGGGAUUAAAUAAAAGGUGACUUGGAACAUCAUAACUCAAUUCCAAGUGGCGACUCUGGAAAAAAUAAAAAAAAUAAAAAAUAAUAAUCUCUUAAUCAAUACGAACACUUAGAUUGAAAAAACCCUUUCCGCCGUGCGAAAAAAAGGGUGUGACAUCUCUAGCGACUCCGCUGGGGAUACUAACCAGAAUUCGAGCUUUGUUUUGUUGACUUUUAUUUUAUCUUAUUAUUUAUUUUUUUGGAUAAAUUGUGUGUGAUUGCCUAAUAUGAUACUUGUUGCUCUUUUAUCACUUUUUAUAUUGUUGAACUAUAAAUUGUCUUUCUUAGCGCAACCAUCUGAAUUGGCAUGAUUUAAUGGCACGUAUUGAAGACGUAAUUUUUUCAUUUUCGUUACUCAAGUAUGACAAAAUUCAUAAAAGUAGCACAAGUGAAGAUGAAACUGGAUCACCAUUAGGAAAUACAGCUACCAAGUAUGUUAUAAUUGAAGAAAUGGAAGAUCAAGACCAUGGUUCUUGAGGUUUUACAUAUGACAUUCUAACAAUGUUGCGCUCUGAUGGCGUUUUGUAUUUGCAACGGAAGGAAGGGGACGAAAAAAUGCGUAGAUUUUCUAGCAAAUGAAAGGUCAAGUUGUAUACAUGAAGAAGAUUUGUUAAUCAAGGAAGAUGAGGAAGUUGAGUUUUUUUCACCUAGUAAACUUUAAGACAUGUUGCUUAUAGAAGGGAAAUUUAUUACUCCCUAUGUGCUAAAAAAGUAAUGAUAUACAUUUUUAUACUUAGUAAAAAUUUAACUUUUAAACUUCUCGUUUUACCCCUAAAGUUAGUGGUGAAAGUUUGGUAUUCAGUUCGAGAUUUCCAAAUUUCGAGUUCAAUAGUUAAAAAUAAAUUCAAUUCAAUAUGGUAUUCAGUAAUACCGUAUUAAAGUUGUAGGAUUUGGAAAAGAAUGAUCACAAAUCUUUCUACUUUUUGUUUGUUAAAAUCAUGUCAUUUUUUCUGACUAAGUUAAAGAAAAAGAGAAAUUGGUUUCUUCUUUUGUUUAGAUGAUAAUGUUAGUGGACCUAGCUUGAAAUGUGAGACAAAAUUAUAUGAAUUGAAGUUUGAUUUCGAUAUGUAAUUCGACUGAUUUGAUGUUAUUUUUAUUCUUUAUUUGAUUUCAAGUAUGCAUAAAAAACAAAUGUAACGUAUAUUUACAUCCACACAAAUAUCUACACAUAUUUUUAGUUUAAGAUUACAAAAUUUUAAAAGUCGUCUAUACUUUCAUAAAUUAAUAUCCCAUGAAACUAAGAUACACAAACUAAAACUAGCGGAGUAACUUAGUACUAAUUCGAUUUGCUUCAUACAUUGUUUUAGUACUAGACAUAUAAGCUCGUGCUAACACAGACUCAAUAACAUACAUAGAAUUUGGAAAGACAAAUAAUUAUUAACAUGAUUAUUAUUAAUUUACGAGACUUUUACGAUAAUUUUUUUCUAUUCUAAUUUAUGUGAUACAAAUUAAUUUUCGUGUGUAUUAUUGCAUGGAUUUGGCGCCUCGGAGCACCCAAAAACAUAUUCUGAAAAAUCUUUAUAAGGACCUCUGUAAUGAGUUGGGAACCAUCACUUAUACUCACACUAUUUCUUAACGCUUAUUUAUGCAUUUACUGACCCUUUUUUAGGAAUUACGUAAAAAAAAUCAAUUUUUGGGUGUAUUAGCCUAUGAAUCUGGCGCAUUAGAGCACCCAAUUUUUUUUUCUGAAAAAACUUUAUGAGUAAUUCUAUAAUGAGUUGGAGAUCACCACGUAUACUCACAUCAUUUUUAACGACUAUUUCCACAUUUAUAGAUUCUUUUUUAGAAAUUAUGCAAAUUGCUCGAUUGUUCAUGUGUAUUAGCCCAUGAAUCUGGCGACUCGGAGCACCCAAAAUUGUUUUCUGAAAAAACUUUAUGAGAACCUCUGUAGUGAGUAAGGGAACCACCACAUAUACCCACACCAUUUUUAACAGCUAUUUUCGCAUUUACAGGCCAUUUUUUUAUGAAUUAUGCAAAUUCCUUGAUUUUUCGUGUGUAUUAGCCCUUGAAUCUAGCGCCUCAGAGCACCCGAAAAAAAUUUCUGAAAAAACUUUAUGAGGACUUUCGUAAUGAGUUAGGGAGCCACCACAUAUACUCAUGCAAUUUUUUUAAUGCCUGUUUUUGCACUUACAAGCCUUUUUUAGGAAUUAUGCAAAUUACUCGAUUUUUCGUGUGUAUUAACCCUGAAUAUAUUGGUGACAUGGCUUUCAGACGAAAUUUUUGCAAAACUCUUUACGGAACCCUUCAAAGGGAGUUGGGGGAGCAGUACGUACAAUUUUACCAUUUUUAGAGUGAUUUAUGGGCAUUAAGGAGUCAAUUUACAUUAUUUAGGCGAUUUUCUCAAUUUUUCAUGUGUGUUAGCCGAUUAAUAUUUUGGUGAUAUGACUUAUAGAUGAAUAUAUUACGAAACCUUUAUGGAAUUCUCUGUAGGGAGUUGGGGAAGCAUUGUGUACAGUCUCACCAUGUUUAGAGUGAACUUUUGGCAUUUAGAGGCCAAUUUAUAGUAAUUAUGUGAUUUUCUCUAUUUUUUGUGUGUGUAAUCCCAUGAAUAAUUUGGUGAUAUGAUUCUGAACGAAUUUUUUUCGUACCUUUAUGGUACCCUCCGUAGGGAGUUGGUGGGGCAGUACGUACAGUCUCACCAUUUUAGAGUGAUAUGGCGGAGAAAUAACUCCUAAUAACCCAAAAUAUAUCUGAAAAAUGGCGAGGAGACGUAUUGCUCUCCCAACUACCUACAGAGAGUUACGUAAUAAAUUUGCACAAAAAUCGAUCAUCAAUCACAUCACCAAAAUAUUCAUGAGAUAACUGUGCCAACACAAACCCAAUAGCAUAGAUGGAAUUUGGAAAGAUAAUUAUGUUGGGAUAUUUUCUUCCUGUGGUGCUCGCUGCAGCGUACAAUGAUGAGCUAUAUAUGUCUCCAUCUUUUUUAUUCUAUUUUUCAUUUAUUUAAAAUGAUCGUUCGGUAGGUGAUAUAAGAUAUGAUAUAUUUUAAUUAUAUUUAAGAUAAAAUUUAUUUCAUAAUUUGAGGUAUUUUAUGAGAUAAUUAAUUAUAGUACUAUGUAAAAGAAUAAUUUAUAUUUCAUCAUUAUAAAAUAUAUAAUUUCAGAACUAACUAAUACUCCUAAUUAUUUAUUCUGUAUUUUAUCUUAAUAUUGUUAUCUCUUUUUCUUUAAAUUCCAUAAGUUUUUCCUCUUCAAUUAUUAGGGAGCACGUUUAAAAGGCUUGCAAAACAUUGUUGUAAUUGGCUGGUAGAGUCGUGAGGAAACAACUAAGCAAAUGGAGAAACAAAAAUACUUUUUUCGUUCCAUUUUAAUUAACACAUUUUAUUUGAUACAAUAUUUAAAAAGGAAUGAGACAUAAGUACCUCCUAGACUAUUAUGAUCGAAAUCUCUGAGACACAUCUUAACUAAACUAAGAUCCUAUUAUCCGAACUGUUUUGUUUUUUUUUUGUAAUUUUUUACACCUUUUUGACUUACGUAGCAUCCAAACAUCUCUCACAUGCCUACAUGGAGUCAUGGAGUAUGCCACAUAAAUUAAUGGAUUAGUUCAAUUAUAUAUGCUUUUAUUUGAAGUUUAUUCUUCUACGUUCUUGAAUAAUCGAUUUCUACUAAUACAACUAAGGAUCGUUUGGUAAUUGAUUAGAACUUUACAAGUAUUAGUAUAAUGGAGAUAUUAGUUAUUAACUGUUCCACCUUCUAUCACACAUAAAAUAAAGGCAUAAUACAUAAAUAUGUCAUUUAACUUNNNNNNNNNNNNNNNNNNNNNNNNNNNNNNNNNNNNNNNNGCACAAGUAGACACUUAAACUUAUAUAAAGUUGAACAAAUAGACACACAUGUACUACAUGGCAUCCUACAUGUCAUUUUUUGUCCUACGUGUAUUGUGCCACGUAAAACUCAUGUGUCUACUUGUUCAAGUUUAUACAAGUUUAAGUGUCUACUUGUGCAUAUCCAAAGUUGAAGCGCAUAAAUGUGAAAUGAAGCCAAGUUAAAGGACAUAUUUAUGUAUUAUGCCUAAAGUAAAUGAUACACCAAUUUUUUCAUAACUUAAACAUACAUUAUUCUACAAGUUCUAAAAUUACAAAUCAAACGUUAUAUUAAGGUGUACGCCUCGUACCCCUAACUCUUCUCUCUCUCUAUACAUAUAUACACCUAUUUUUACCACAACUCUUCAUUCACAUUAAAGCUAGAAAUGGCAGAAGAAAUGAUGAACAACAAACAAAUCAUUCUAAAACAUUAUGUGGAAGGUUAUCCUAAGGAAUCUGAUAUGGAAUUUAAGAAUAGUAUCAUUAAAUUGAGUGUUCCAGAAGGUUCUAAUGUUGUUAUUUUGAAGAAUCUUUACUUGUCUUGUGACCCUUACAUGCGUAACCGUAUGAGCAAACUUGAGGGUAGCUAUAUUCAAUCCUUCACUCCUGGUUAUGUAAGUAUUUCAAUAAUUUACUACCACACAUGAUUAUUUAGUUGAUAUAUAUUAUACGAGAGUCAAAAAAAUAUAUUUAAUGUAUUUUUAUAAAUAGGUGUUUGGAUUAAUUUAUUUUAACAGUUUUUGGCUUUUAAUCUUCUUUUGAAACUUUUUGAAGGUGUUUGAUAAAAAACACCUUUUUAAGGCUGAGAAAUUACAAAAAUAAGUUAAAAGUAUAGAUAUUCUCAACUCGUGACUUUUAAGUUUUUGCUUAUAAGAUACUUAAAACAAAGUCAAUCUAAACAGCCCGUGAUCGUGGAUCUGGGCAGGGUGGUGAGUACUGGCUUAAUUUCUAUCUUGUGGAGGUAGAGAGAUUAUUUUCAAAAGACUUUCAAAAUCAAGUCCGAAUUUUGAGAGUCGAACUUGUUAAUCUUGAUCUGGAUUUGAAUAUAAAAUCUUUAAUUUUUUAUAAAUAUUCAAGAACAAUGUUAAAAGUAUUAUAAAUCAUAACAAUUGAAUAUAAAAUCUUUAAAUAGUGUAGACCUUGAUUGUUUCAAAUUUAACAUUAUGUUUUGUCUGCAGCCUAUUACAGGAAAUGGAGUGUCUAAAGUUUUGAAAUCUGGUGAUUCAAAUUUUCAAGAAGGUGACUUAGUUUGGGGAAUGACUGGAUGGGAGGAAUAUACUAGUAUUGUAACAACUACUCAAAGUAUGUUUAAAAUUGAUCAUGACAAGGAUGUGCCUCUUUCCUAUUAUACAGGAAUCCUUGGUGAGUGUUUUCGACUGGGUUAAAGUCUUACAUUAGUUGGGGUCUCUACAUAUAUGGAUUUGAAAAAAAUAAUUUUCGGGAUUGAGUUAGGCCCAGGCGUCAUAACUUUACAUGAUAUAUAUAUAUCUAUAUAUGAACCAAGUUCAUCCCUAUUUGGGAUCUUGGUCCACACGCUCCAGUUGGGCUUGCACUUGAAGGGGGGUCUAGAGUCCCACAGUGGUACUACAACAAAGCCAACUUUUAGCGGCAAUAAAUAGACACAUUAAUAAAGAGUGCUAAAGUCUUUACUGGCAUUAGUUAAGUGUCGUUAGAUCCAAUGUCGCUAAAGGCUUUAGGGGCAUAUACAAAGAGUGCUAAUUGCCACUAAAAAUACAUAUUUAGUGCCAAUUGAUCUAUUACCGUUAAUUAAUUGCCACUAAAGAUCGUUUUUGAUGUAGUGAUGGUUGGUUGGGGAAUAGACUGGUAAUCUGCUUAUAUGGACUCAGACAAUAAUCUUCUGCUUUUGCAGGGAUGCCUGGGAUGACAGCUUAUGCUGGAUUUUAUGAGGUUUGCUCCCCUAAGAAGGGAGAAACUGUGUUUGUUUCAGCUGCUUCUGGAGCAGUUGGUCAACUUGUUGGACAAUUUGCAAAGAUGUUAGGUUGUUAUGUUGUUGGUAGUGCUGGAAAUAAACAAAAGGUAAGUGCUUAAACAUUUCAUUCUUGAAUUUUAUUAGUGGCUUAUAAGUUAUCUUACUUAUCUUAAUCAUUGUUAAAUAAUCUAGCUAUCUCAUCUAUUCAUUAUUAUUAUUAAAGGUUGAUAUGUUGAAGACCAAGUUUGGUUUUGAUGAAGCUUUUAACUAUAAAGAGGAGCAGGAUUUAGAUGCAGCUUUGAAGAGGUAAGUAAUCUUAUAAAUUCCCACAAGAAAACACUAACUAAUAUGGAAAAAAAUAGUUUCCAGGGUGAAGGUGUUGGCAACGACUUCUUUUUUAACCUUAACGAUGUGGGGGGUUAGGCUUGACCCCUACCAUGUCUAUAACAUCCAAAAAGUUAAAAAAGUAGAGGGGGACAUGGACCUAACCUCUUGAUAGUGAACAACGAGGAUAAACUAAACAAUCUACAAAAAGACCAAGAUGACAUAGACUUUCAUACUAUAAGAAAAAUACACUGGUUCAAUUAACAAAAAAAUUAAAUUUGUCGUAUCUUCUCCUUAUGCUAAAGUUGCCACUUAUCUAGUAGAAAUAGUCCCUUCACCUCAGAAGAAUUGUGUGUGGUGGAUUGAACAUUAAGGGCAUAUAUGAAAAGAUAGCUAAUAUAACGCUAAAGGUAUAUAUGAACUGAUAGUAUAACGGAAAAGCAAUACUAGACCUUUAAUUUUCAAUAAUAUAGGAGUAAAUAUGACCUUUUUUUCGUAUUGGUUUAUUCUAUUAGGUACUUCCCUGAUGGAAUUGCCAUUUACUUUGAGAAUGUUGGAGGUAAGAUGCUUGAUGCAGUUCUUGUGAAUAUGAAACUUCAUGGUCGUAUUGUUGUGUGUGGAAUGAUUUCACAAUACAACCUUGACAAGACUGAAGGAGUGCACAACUUGUUUUGCCUUAUCGCGAAACGAAUCCGUAUGGAAGGAUUUCUUGUUUUUGAUUACUAUCAUCUUUAUCCUAAAUAUUUGGAAAUGAUCAUUCCACAAUAAAGGCUGGUAACAUUGUGUAUGUGGAAGACAUAGCUGAAGGUUUUGAAAGUGCUCCUAGUGCUCUAGUUGGUCUCUUCUCUGGUCUCAAUGUUGGAAAGCAAAUUGUGAUGAUUUCAUGUGAAUGAAUGGAUUUGGAUCUUUUCCAUUUUCUCUCAAGUUUUUACUUGAAAGGAAAGAUAUUGUGUCAUGGUUAAAUACUUAAAUACGCAAACAUUUCUAUCAUGUAUUUACUAAUUCUCUGUGUGGUUUGAAAUAAUUAGUCAUUAAUUGAUAGUUUCAUACUAGAUUUCAAGUCAGAUAUACUUAGGUACAUGUACUUUUGCUGCUAGAUACAUUCUGAAAUGCAGAUACAUAGGAAGAGAGUGAGCGAAAGAAGAGAAAGGAGAGAUGAGAGAGGCGAGAGGCAAGCGAAAGAGUUAGUGUAUUCCAGAUAUAUGCAAAUUACACUAGAUACAUAUAAUAUGAGUGAGAGAGUCAGUGUUUCCAAAUACAUAUAAAUUAUCCUUGAAUACAGUAUAUCAUGGAUGUGUCGCAUACAUGUGUUUGGGAACUGAAAUCUGACACAAACAAUAAUUUCAAAGAGGCACAUAAUUAAACUCUAAAUUAAAGAAAUUCUUAUCGUUUGCCCUUGAACUUAUUUAGGCAAAUAACAAUAAUUUUUAAUAAAAUAAACAGCAAUAAAAUACAUGGUGAAUAGCAAUGAUCAUUAGAGUAAAUAUAAUGUAUUUUAUUAAUAUUGAAAUAUGUGAAAAGAAAAAUAUUAUAGUGUAGCACAAGAUUGUAGGAGGUGUUUAUGAAAAAGAGAAGGGCA